ensembl:lncRNA
GUUCAGCCUGUCAUAGGAACUGCACAAAAUGAAGAGAUGUCCUGGCAGCCCAGAGCUGCCUGAGGUACUCUUCAUGCCUCUCCUUCUUACUGAUGGUGAAGCAUAUGCAAAAGGGAUGGAUUUGACACAAUAUUGCUUUGUUGAUGUUGUCGUCAGCUCUGUUAGCCUGGAGGAAUUUGCAGCUAUCUUACAACCUUUCCUGUUAUCUCUCUUCUGAGUAAUGCUGUGAAGCCCGUAUCCAUAAUUUCAGAUGCAGUCUAGUGUUUUUCCUUAUUUGUGGCUUAACCGUUGGUCAGAUUUACUGAAUAUUUUUCUUAUUAGAAGUUUGUAAUCCUUUCUUUUUCUUUUUUUUUUUUGUCUCUAAAGUCUUUCUGAUUUCUGCCUGCCUUCAGCUGGCAACUAGCAAAGCCUGCUGCCUUCUCAAGGUUGAAAAUCUAAACUUUGCUGCCAUACGUUGUCUACGGGUUAAAUAAUGACUGUGCUGAGCUGAUUAACAGAGAACAUUCAGUUUCCUUAUUGCUGAUGAAAGGGCUGGAAUACUUGUCCAAAUCCCAUUAGUGGAAACCUAGUCAUUGCUGAACUAUGUCAGAUUUUCAGAACUCAUUGAGUAAAAAUGUACAAAUAUGAGGUAUGAAAGAGGAAAAAAAGAACUAUUUUUAUGAGCUGUUUCUGCACGAUUGAAGUUUAUUUUUAAAAAAUGGCCAUAAUCUUUGCCGAUGCAUGGUCAAAAAAUUGUUAUUUAACAUCUUGUCAUUGGAAGGCACACACAGUAUCUUCACAACAUAGUAGCUGUGUGUCUUAUCAUAACAGUCUUCAGCCUUUUAUAACCAAUAUGUACCUGGGGAAAAAAAAAAAACAAAAACAAACAACAGAACAAACAGGUCAUCUCCUUAGUAUUCUCUGAUAGGGAUGUGAAUGUAGGCAAACUGAAAACAGCCCCUUUAAGUUGCACUUUUUGGACACUUGUGUUUAGUCAUGCUCAGCUGCCUGUAGGAGCUGGUUAGGACAUGACUGUAUCAAACCCUGUGACACUGAGAGAAGAGAAUAAGCUGUUCUGUUGUUGCCCUUUUUUUUUUUUUUCCUGCUGUACCUAUUCAAUGAUCCCAUGUGAAUAAUUCAUUCAGACCUAAAGGAGUGCUGAACCCAUGUGCUUCACAGUAGUUAACCAGGAAGAGGAGGAAGGAUUGUCCUGUUAGUAGUCUGAAAUGAUUAGAAGAUCCAUGGGAAUGGAAGCUUUCAGAAGGAGGAAGGGUCAGGUCUGUCUUGGAGAACUCAUCCCCAUAGAAGCAAGAGGGAGGCUGUUCCAGUAACUCCUGUGGGAGGUCUAUCUGGGAAGCCAUCAUUGCCAGCACCGCACUACUCCUGUUCCCAGACAGGAUUUCAGCCCAUUACAAGGACUAGCUCAGCUCCUGCCUCUGGUGCUUUGGUCUGCUAGAAAACUCAGACAUCAAUAAGGCAGUUAAGUUUGUAUAUUGAAUCAUGCAAAGUAUGGAUUAUGCAAAACAGCCCACCUCUAAUUUCGAGUGAAAGGAGAGACAGGUCAACACUUUACAGGACUUUACAGGACAGAACUCUAAGCACUGCAAGACAUCCUGACACCAGUGAAUGAGUCCAUGCAGCAGAUCAUAAACACAUCACCAAGUCAUGAUAUUGGAACAUCACUUCCUGCCGAUACCUAAAUAUUAAUGUAAGUGAAACCUGAAGGGGUUGCUUUUAGUGUGUGGUGAAUGUUGCAUCGUCACCAGGUGACCAAUGUUGGUUUUUUUUUAAUCAUUGAAUGUGCUCCUUUAUCAAAGUGCCUUUGAGAUAAGUAGAAGUAAGGCUUGAGGUGAUUUGUAUAAAUCCUGACAAUGGCCUGAGGUGGAAUUAUCGUGGGCUUAAGGACAUACUGAGAGAGGUAUUGAGACAUGGGAUGCAGCUGAGCAAAGGUAGAUACGAAUAGUGUAAACAGUGAUAACUGAACUACUCACCAUAGCACAAGGUACUAAGAGUACAAUUCACCUUCUCCUAAAUAUCUGAGAUAGUUAGGAUGAACCAGAGCCUGCGGGUGCUGUUUCUUCCCAUCUGCUACUAGGGGGGUGUGAAUGAGCAGCUGAUGUGCAGCUCUCUGCCGCCAGGUGUGACAAGGUGAGCUCUGCUCCCAGAGCCUGCUGAAAAGGCCUGAGUGCCCUCCCCUCUGCAAAACAUGGUCGAGAUGAAAGAAGGUAUGAGCAAACAUUCAGUGCUGCAGAAGUUAGUGCUUUAGUCUGGACUGCUACAAGCAGAAUUCUUCUGUUGGUCAAGAAUCAUUAAAUAAAAGUGGUAUGUAAAGGAUCAGCAAUAAUUAUUGAUAAUAAGCAUCAAGACUAUCAGAGAUACUCCAUAGAGAAAUAAGUCACAAAAAUAAAAUAGAAGCUGCUUUGCACUGCAACAUCAGUACCCCAGGCUGUACUCAUAACAGUCUUUAAUCACCACCUUCACCAUGUCCAUUUGUAACUCAUACUUGUUGAAACGUUACGCUUGCCUUUUGCUUAGGGCCUGGUUUUCUGAAGUGCUGAGCAUCCUCAUCUCACAUCAACAUCAACACGUUGUAGACUUUUACCUAGGGAGAGAUGAAAUAUAGCACAUAAUGUUUCAUAUCGCAUAGGUGUGGAAGGCUGUGAAUCAAGGAAACAAUUGCUUUUAAAUAAAUUAUGUGCAAAUAGAAAAGUGAUAACGUAAUGCAUGAUUUGAGAGCAAAAGCCCAGCUCCUGUGAAUUCAUUUUAGUAACAGUGAAGAGUGAUACCACUAAGAAUGCUGUUCUAUGGAGUCAGUUGGCAUCUCCAUUGUAUAACGUGGAUUGCUGGAGGUGGUAUGUCUGCCAGUUCAAGUCAUACUGAGCUGCAAUUUAGUGUGAAAAAAAUAAGAAUUUUUAAAUUGCUGAAGUGAUGGAAUUUCUCUCUUCUCUCUCUGCAUCACAAACAAAACAGAAUUUAGAUUUUAUGAAUUAUUGGCCAACUCUCUUAUCAUUAACACCUUCCUUUUAUUUGAAUGGAUAAUAGGAAAGGAAGAUGAAGAUAAGCUAGCUCAACAUUUAAAAGAUUUGCUCAAUGCAGACAGUCCUUUCUUUCCACAAGAUUUUUUGCUGCAAAAUGAGAAAUACAUUACAAGCCUGAAUUAACCAUAAUAUUAACAGAAAAACAGUACAGACAAUUUGUAACAAAUGCUUAAGUAAGCAUAUCCUUCAAAAAAGAGGUGUCAUGAAAAACAUUAGAAGUGAAACUUGCUUGCACCAAAGCCUACGCUUGCAUUUCCAUUGACUCCAGACUGAGAAGAACUUAGAUCCUGGGAAGUUCAGUUCAAAAAUAGUUGUCUUUCUGUCAGUGAGUCUAGGAUUGUGGGCUCUAUGACUUUCCACAUGAAUGCUAAAGGGAGUAAAGUGCUACAAAUCCCUGUUUCUGAAAUGAUACAUGGAAAUAAAUUACAGUUAUAUGAGUUUUAGAGUCCUACCAAAAUUUCUGGGUUACCACAUCUGCAGUCCUACAAAAGGUAGAUCUUCCCAGGUUCUUGUUAAAUCUGACUUAGAGAAGCAGCUCAGGACCCAUUUCAGUGUUUGUUAUCAGCUUUUUCAAGUAUUUCAGUUACGAUUACUAGCUAUAGAAGGUCUGAAACUCUUUGUUUUGGCUGUAUACAGAAUUUUCCAAAUUCACUGUUUGUAAUCUAGAACUAAAGACUGAUUUAUCCGGGCAUUUUCAAAUAAGUUGGUUCAAAAUGUGUCUGUCAAUUUAUUGACCUGUAAGAGCUUCCCAAAGUUGAUUCUGGUUUGGCCUGGUAAAUAACCAGCCUUUCUAAAUUCUCUGAUGUUUAAAGAUAGUGGCAAGGUGGUUUGGUCAUGCAUUUCUAUAAUGUAAGUAAGAAGUAAGCAAAUUUCUUUCUGUUUCUUUUUCCUCUCUUGUGUGCUUUAUUCACAUUUUUUCAUUGCUUGAGAUGUCUACAGCUUUAUACAGUUUUGAACAGGACUGAAUAUACAGUUGCCCACUUUUGAGCUACUGCUAAAUGGAAUUCAGCAUGUUGUAUGUUGUAUGGGUUGGAGACCAGCAGAGUUGCUUGGGGGGGUGAGGGGAAUCAGGUGUGCUGCUGACAUGCUGUCUGCUCCAAAGAUGCUUGAACCCUGCUGUCCUGAGCACGGGAGCGCUCAUGGAAUUGGAGGAAGGUUCCUUGUUCUCAUCCCCAGCGAACAGCAGGACUGAAAACCCUCUCUGUAGGCUCCUCCCAAAGCCAUGCACCACUGCUCCUGCAGGCUUAUACCUCUCUUCCCAGUCUGCUCCUGAGUUCUGUCUCUGCUUCUCCAUCUGCUAGCUUUUUUCUACAUAAAUCCCUGCCCCAAACAAGAUCAACAAUGCUCCCCACCCAGAUCUUUUAAAUUCCUGAGCAACCUUGUAUUCACCUUGUGUAGGGCAGAAACAUGUGCUGAACUGCUUCUUACAGCUCAGAAGAGAUGUGCGGUGGUUAAUCCUACCAUUUUCAACUAGGCUGAACUCAGCUUAUAACAAAACCAUCAGUAAAAAUGUGACCACUUCACAACUGUGUGCAUGUGUAGUAUGUGGAAGGAAUUUGCAAAAGAAUUGGCCAUCUUUCCAUGAAGUUCCAGCAGGAUCCACAGUCAGAAUGAGGACUCAGUUCAGUUCAUUUGUGAGUUUCAUAUAGGAAGAAGUGUGUAGUUCUUAGUGAUUUAUUCUGUUGGAACUAUAGAUUCUGGUGCCGUUAUGGUUUCUUCUUCAGACAUCAAGCCCCACCAUUUUGAUUCUGAACUGGCCCAAUCUAAACACUAGAUUGGGAGCCAGAGAGGCCACAGUAGUUGUUAAGUUUAGUCAGUCAGCCAUACACAUCUUCUGGGCUGGAACCAGCUUCCACCUGGCCAGUUUGGAGGAGUGUCUGCACUUCUCUCAGUUCACAGACUAACUUGGAUUAGCAAGCCUUUGCCUUCCUGAGAUCAUGGCAUUUGGAAUGGUUGAAUUACCUAGGGAGGUCUCUCUACUGAUGCUUUGCCAUAACAAAAACUCUGUUAUGUUCUGCUCACAAAUGCAUAAAAUAGUGUUUAUUGAACUUGAGUGUGUCAUAUAUGUGAACCCCAAAUUAUGCUGAUGUUGAUGAUCUUAAUAAGACAGCAUUUUAUGCUCUGAAAGGGCUUGUGCAUGAUGCAUUCUGUGGUCACUUGGAGGUAGGAGUUCUGUGAUGCAGUGUGGUCUCCCAUCAGCAGCAGGCAUGUUGAGCAAGGGAAGGGAAUGGUUAGGAGGCACUCCAUAACCUGACAUCUUCUUAAAGAGUUUAUAUUAAGGUGAGUUAUCACACAUAGCCAACUCUAAUCCCUUCUAAACGAAGGUUCUGUUUAUAGAAUAUCCAGGUCAGGAUUAUAAAUCUCUGAACAAAUCACAGGUAUAAUUAAAAGGAAUAAUGCCAAUUUUACUUUCCAGUCGAUCUCUGUACUCCUUGGACUUCUCACAGAUAAAUACAGAUAGUAUCUCUGUGAACUAAUAGUAACUUGUUCGUUAUAGCACCUUUGAUUUUACCACUAGAUUGAAAUACAUACUAGUAUUAAACAUUGUAUAUAGUAUAACAAAGUGGUUAAUUCUUUCAGUUUUGCACUGCUGUGUUCAAUGGAGCUUUAGAAGUAUUUCCAAAGAAAUUUCCAACCUUCAUUUACUCUUUGUAGAUAAAUUUGUUUUGCCUUUUUCAUGCCAUUUUUGUGGUCAGUUUCAAGCAGUCAUCUUCAGUUCACCAAUGAGAAUUUCACAGGAAUGGAGGGGUUUCUCAAUGUGUCAUGGAAUUUUUGAAGAACAGGAUCUAUUUAAUCUUUGUCAUAUUACUUUGCAACAAAAACCUGAUUCUGAGAGAUAAGAAAAGACGACAGGACAGAGGGGAGCACCACAUGACCUAAUCUUACAUUUAAAGAGGUAGCACAUUCAUUUUAAAUUGAAUAUUUGUUAAUGAGUCCUUGUAAGGUGUUCAGAAAAUAACAAAGAUAACUUUACAAAGCAGAGCUUUACUGAGAGGGAAAAAAAUGGAAAAAGAUAUUGUGUCUUAGUAGGGUUAACAGGAACAUAUAUAUGUUCUAUCAGUAAAGCCAAUUACUGUAGUCAGUACAGUCAGUGGUACUUAACUAGUAGAUAUCUGGCAUAGUUAAAGGUAGCUUGUAACCCACUUACACAGUAAAGAGUAAGACUAGUACAGAAAUGUUCAAUUCUUUCAAUUAAAGCAUUUUAUCAAAUGCAGUAAACCAGUAUAUAACUUUGCUUUGAGAAAAAAGCCAAGAUGGAAAAAGGAUAAUUAUACUGUUCAGGUAAAUAACAUUUUCCUGACAGGAGUCCAAGUUAUAUUAAAAAAAAGAAAAAAGAAAAAAAAAAGGCUACCUUUCUUAGUUUCUAUUUUCCACUGGAGGUGUAGGGAAAAAUGCAUAUAGAAGUUUUUUUUUUUUUUUUUUUUUUUCCCUCAGUAUUUGGUGGUCCUUCCUUAAAACUUUUAAAACCAAAGCCAUUUCUCACAUCUGGUUGGAACACAGGUCUUUAAGCCAUUCGAGUAAUUCAAAUCACAUGUAAAAAUCUAAGCUACAGUGUAUGAAAUUCAAGAACAAUGUAGUUCUUACAGGGUCUGCAGUGUGCCACCUCUUUUAAUCAAUAACAGCCUCAGUUCAGUUUAUCUGUAAAUACAAGACUGCAGUUAAGAAUGAUCUACUGCACUAUUUCAGUACUGAGAAUAGCAAGUUACCAGAUUAGUGACACUUUACAACUAUAAUAAUCUUAUCCCUGUACUCUAGAUGAAGUUCACAGCAAUACAGACUGUAUCAGAUUAUAGUUCCAAUGGAAAAUAUUGAAGAUCACUAAUAUCAAUACGCAUUUCCUUAUCUCAACCAUUUGUAACUGCUUGUAUUGACUUUCAUUACAUUCCAGCAGUUCUGCUUAUUCCCAAAUGGUAGUCAUUAAUUUCCAUUAACUAAGGCACAACUAUACAUAAUUUAAAUUGUUUCCAAUAAAUGUUCAAUUAAUGUCUGUUAUCUGCAUUUAAUUUCCAUCGAUUCCAAAAAGCUACUGUUGAGCUUAAUUGCCACCAUAAUUAAAACAGUUUACCAUGAGCGUAAUUGGGUCUCCAUUAAUACCAAUGGACAGCUACAAGGACUGAUUACUCUCUUACUGUCAAGCAGUAGGGAGCAGUGCUACACAGAGAUCGCAGUGCAAAUGAAUGGCUACAAACCCAAACAGCUGCGGCUGAAGUUGACCAGAGAACAGUAUUUACCACAGCAACAAACGCAUGCUUUUCUAGGAUACCGGUCCAGAUGGCCAGAAAAUAUUCUAGAGGUUUCCUUAAGCUUAGUAUGGGAGAAAAAAAGUGAAUUACAUCAGACUGUUGAAAGUAGCACGGUAUCCUGGCUUGAAAUUUGUUCCACUUCAAUUAAAAAGUGACAGCUGACAAAGGGAAGUUCUAGACCAACAGAAAAAUGGGUGCAACUCAUUUAAUCCUUUUUUUUUUUUCCCCUAUAAGUUUGUCUGUUCAAAUACAGUGCCUGACCAAGAACUGGGGAGAAAAAAAUAAUAAAAGAAUAAAACCUCUACCUAUAGGACUGCUUCAGAUUGUUGGGGGGUGCUAUAGGUCCAUAGCAAUAGCUUAAAUUCAAUGAGAGUAGAUCACUUUAACAUAUUGUUAGGUAUUCUAUAUACAAGUCAGCUACAUUUAGAAUCUCAGAAAUUGCCAAUUCAUGAGAACAAAACAUCUGCUUAAGAGCGAUGAUCUUGACUAAUGUUCCCUUUGAAGAGAUAAACAAAAGAAUCAGCUUGCUGAAAAUUAAAUGUUACUACAUUUUCAGAAUGACAUUUUCAAUUUUGCAUUGCAAAAUGUUUUUUUCCUGUUUUCCAUACUAUUUCAAAUUGAGAUCUAAAUGGAAUAUUUUCCUUUUAUUCAAAUCACUUGAUUGACCAACAAGUAUUUUAUUCAUAAUCAUGCUUUGUAAUGGCUUUCUGGAUUGUUUUAUUGCUUUAAUUAGGAGUGGAAGUAAAAUUCACCCCUAAGACAUUGCCUGAGAUGAAAAGUCUGGAUUUCGCUGGGCUUCAGCUAGAGUACUUUUUCGCUAGCUUCACUUUCUGAAUAUAUUCAAAGCCUUGUCCAAAGUAGAGUUCAUUAAAAUAGACCAGCAUUAAAUCACGGAGGGCAGAGCUUUGGUGUCAAGAAAUCUGUCUUACAAAGGAAAGAUUGCUGCCUUCUAGCUACAAAUACUCUUAUAAGGUCUGCACUGCCAGUCAGAAAGGACCUCCAAGCUAGUCCUGUGCUAAAGUUGUCACACAUCCCACACUGUACUAUGGUCAGACCUCUUGUCUACUAUGAAAUGAAAGUGAGUAUGGCUUUUCCUAUAUUUUUAUUGCAGCCUACUGUUUUUUAACAGUUCUGCAUUUGCAUGGCAAAUACAACAGAUGUUGAUUUGGGGCUGGAGUGCUUUAAAUUACCAUUGGACCUAAAAGUCCCAAAAUUUGAAGACAAUCCUGAUAGCUAUAUAUAAUGAACUGUUAUUCUAUUGUAAUGAAUGUUAAUCGUUUAACACCAAGUUAUCACCACAAGAAAAUGUGCGACUACCUCCACUGUUCCACUUGUGCCCUCUUGUAUCUGUACUGCCCACCCAAAGACGGAGAAAUCCUGUAGACUUGACAAUCCUACUAUCCUAUAGACCUGAAAUCAAUAGUGUCAGGACAUCCCUGCUUGCAGCAGUUGUAAUGUGGCUAAUACACAGUCAGGAUGUGCUCCUACAUAGCAGGCAUCACUGUGCACCCACUCCUUCCAGUCCCUGCAACACCAUUGAGCUCCUAAUUAGAGAAGUUCACCUCAUACAAGAGUGUGAGCUGCCAUAGCAUUAGGUACAAGGUGGUACCUGGGGGUGAGGAAAAUUCCAAUUCCGUGUCCUCCUUUCUCAUUUAUGAGAGAGUUCUUAGGGUGGAAUAAAUUAAACAAAGGAAAUUAUGUUAUCAAAUCAGUUAAAUUUAUCUGUAUAUCCUUUCUGGUGCCAUAAAAGGUGACCGUUUUUCGAUCUUCAAAUGAAAUUUGGAGCAUAACUGAAAGAACAAAUUGUAAAGACUGGAGUUUUGUUUUGGAAAAUACCUUGCUACCAAUAUCUUGCAAAUAAAGAAUGUAAGCUCAAACAGAAUGAUGACCAAAUGGCUAAGACCAUAGUAUCAGGGCCUCAACAGCUUACCCUGUAAUUGCAUGGCAGCUAGAAAAGGCUGAAGUAGGCAGACAGUUGCCACAUCUCUGCUAUUCUGCUACAAAGGAAGAAGAGCAGAGAGGUGUGUUUUUUGUCUUGGGAAAAAUCAAAUUGCUAUCUCAGCUGUUGCUUUCCAUAUUGCCUCUACAUCAGAGAAAAACCAUACUUCCUUGUGUCCACUGUUCAGUUACUCAUCCCACUAAGGAGUAAGCAAGGAGAGAGGAAGAAAAAAGGACAAGUAAAAGGCUGAACAAGUCAGUGAUCAAGUGAGCCUUUGUUUUGAAGGCAGACACACAAUCUAAGGGGCAAUACUCCAUCUACAUCGUAGAGAAGGUUCAGCUCUUGAGCAGCUUAGAGCACAUCACUACAGCCAGGUCUCAAGGUGGCAAAGUCUUAGGCAACAGUUACAAACUUUGCAUCUGAAAUAAAAGUGACACCUCUUAAAACCAAACCCAGAUGUUGAGGGUAAUGGGCUACAGGAAUAUCUAGGAAGUGCUGAGCCUCUCAGGCAGCCCUGACAUGCAAACAUGCAUAACAAGGAGUUUAUGCACAUUCUGUAGAGGACUGAUACUGUAAAGAGCUGAUGCAAAGAACUGAACAAAGGAAACCAUUGUGAUACACAAUAAAGAAGGAAUUAUCUUGGUCUCUUGGAGAACUGUCUCUUGAAACCUUAUCUAUUAACUACUUACAUAGACACAGAUAUCAGCAGUGAUGGAUACUACCUGUUCUUCCUUCUGAUUCUUUCCCUUUCAUGCCAACAUUACAUCUGCCAGUUCAGGUCUAAGUCUUUCCAGCUAGCUCUCUUUCAAGAUUCUGUGUCAGCAAGUCUUCUGUGAGGCACCCUCCAGCAAUUUAGCAUAUAAGAUGAGAGCUGUGUGGUUUCUGGAACAUUAGAGUUUACACAUCUAAUCGCUCAGGUAUUCCUGAGCACAUUUAGCAAGAGAUCUGACAGUUAACAUCUAUCUAAAGGACUUGGUCCUUAGAGAGGAUGUUCACUGUUUCACACCAGAAUCUCUCAGAAAGGAGUCGAGUCUCUGCUUGGCAAUGGCAUUUAUCCCAAGUACUGACUGAUAAUGUGCCAUCUAUAUUUCAUACAGUUCCUCUGUAAUAAUCAACUGAUAAUGCAAGUAAACUUUAUUUCUAGAUCUUCUAGGAUCUUCUUAUUGCCUCUGGUUUUUGUUGUUGUUGUUUGUUUUGUUUUGUUUUGUUUUGUGGAAGAGAGGUAGUCCCAACCCAUAUACACGUUUCACUCCAAUUUUCUCCAUGGAAACCUCUUUUGUGUUAGCAAAUAUCAACCAGCUUCCCUUCUGGGAGUAAGAAUCCCAUGUCCUUAAUUUGCAACAGAGAUGAGAAUUUCAGUCUCUUUUUUCCUCGACUGUACAGGUGAGAAUGACUUUAUCUAUAGUCAGAAAGUAUGUGGAAGAACCUAUUCAUAAAAUCAUGGAGUCAUUAAGAUUGGAAAAGUCCACUAAGAUCAUCUAGUCCAACCACACUAAAGGCAAGCAGAACAAAAUGUGUGCUAAAUAUGACAGAUAAUAAAGUAGAUCCCACUUGAUGUCACAGUUGCCAUUUGUUCCAGUUAAUGAAACUCAUCCCGUGCCCUGAUAUGACAUGAAAGCAUGUCAUAAGAUCCAUGUCUUUCAGUAAGUUCCCAAGUUAAACUGCAUGUUCAGUUUGCCACUUACCAACUAUAGUAGCAACACAGAGAGCUGUUGCUAUGAAGAGCCAGAACGGUAUUCACAUACCCAUAUAUUUAUAUAUAUUUUUUUGCCUAAUUAAAACAAAAGCAAAGUUCUGGAAGUAGGUAUCAUAAGGAAUGAAGUGGUAGUCUCCAAACUCAGCUGCACAAAAGUUUAUCCAUCCCCAGAAAAAUGGUAGCAAGUAACUUCUUGUAGACACUCACAGUGAGUGCAAUUGGCUGUUCCUGCCUCCAAGGUUAUGACGGCAUAGCACACGUAGCAUCUCCUGCUUGUGCCCACAUGCCUUGAGCUCAUUUUCCUAAAUAAUGUAACUGAGAAAUCACAAGCUGUAACCGAUGUUUUGUCACACCGCACCACGUAAGAAUAUAAUUGUUUGUCUUUUUCCGUGUGAAGAGUUUCUCAGCUUCUCUGGAUAUUCCGAUUACCACUAUAAAAAUAAUUUUGCUCUGCAUCCUCCUAUAGUUUGGAACCUCAAUAAUUUAACCUUCAUUGAUAAAAUCUGCCAGAUUUUCCAGGCUCUGCAACCUGGAAGCAAAACAUAAGGAUUAGUUAAGGACUGCGAUAGGCUCGUGAGCAGUUGUUAGUUAUUCCAGUGGCAUAGCUCAUGCUGUUUUCCUUUCACACAAAUUACCCUGGAAGCCCUGCCCACUGGGGCAGGUGCUCUCAGGAGAUAAGCAACAGUAUGAAAAGUUUGAGAAUUAAUCUCAUCGUGCAAUAAACUUGACAUCUAAUCUACUGCUUACAUUUGUAACACACCCAGGAGAGUUUAGCUGAUUUGCCAUUACACUGUUGAACAACCACAGUAGCCAAUGUGUCCUUCCCAAUGCUUUUCAGUAGUCCUAUUUUACUGUAACUAAAGGUGCUGCACGUGCAUCUUCUGACGUGUUUUUCAGCUUUGCACAUUCAGACUUUCACUCAGUUCUGGACAAUGAACUCAGGUGACAGGGGAGUGGAGGAUCCCUUUUCCAGCUGGUUUCCUAUGGCGAAGGAUUCCCACUGUGCAAAUCUUGUGGAGAUUUGGCCAUGAUUGUGGUAUCCAGACACACAGCUUUUUUAGGCCGCAGGUGCUUUUGAGCAAGCACAAGACUUAUACACUUGGAUUCUUUAAAGAUGGAAAAAAGGUCCUUCGAUAUUUUAGUACCUUUGGGGCUAGACAUCACUUGAGCAAGGGUUUUAAGGAUUUACUUUGAGUUGAAAGGAAAGGUACUUGAAUUUAACUUCUGCACCAAUUUAAAAUCCUAAAUCUAUUUUCUAACCUAACCCUUAGUCACUAGGGCAUCUGGAUGAGUGGAAAUGAUAAAAUAACCACCUUUGACAAUUCCUUAAAAUUCCUGAAUGAAAAGUACUCCUACAAGAUACAUAAAUGAUUUGACUGUUUCACACAGACCAGAAAAUCAGGACUAAAUUCCAAGAAAAAAUGACAUAUCACAACAUCAGCUCAAACAGAAGGUUCCAGCUGUUCCAAAUGCCACUAAACCACAAUGAUUAUUGCAAACAUAAAUAAAGCGAAAUCUUAAUCCAACUUUAUCAAGGAGUAACUAACCAUAUUUCUCCAUUCUUCUAGUAGUUAUGUGAGAGCACAUUUUCAUAAGCAAGGAGAAAGAUGGAAUGUUAGCUGCCACUUUCUCUCGUACUGUAUGAAAAACCCAAACACCUAUAAAUACAUCUAACGAACAACUGAAGCGGGGCAGAUCACAUAGGGUAGAAAAAAAUAACCCGUCAAACUGAAGUCUAAAUUAUGUCCUUGAUAAGUGGCUUGACUUGCAUUUGUUUUGAUUUUUUUGUUGUUGUUUUUAGUGGAUGAUGUCACUUCCUUUUGACCACCACCAAAAAAUAAUUGUUGCCAGAGCUCUAUGGCUGUUAAACCAAAAAAAGAGUGGAAUUUUCUGAAAAUUUUUACAGCUUCAAUAGUCACUUCCAGACUGACAUUUUGUGUUUUAAAAGCUAUCUUUAAAGAACUAAAUAGGUGACAAAGCAUUCCAGAAUCUGUCAAAGUAAAAAAAAAAAGUCAAAGCAUGGAAAUGCAAACCCAUUGCACUUACGCCACACUUUAUGCUUGCGGUGGAUGGUUUGGGUUAUUUCAUUUGCAGACUUCUGCCUCCAUUCAUUCCAGUAACAAAAGUGCUGAUAGCACCUUAUCUGUUCUAGUUAAGGUAGCUCUUUCUCUGUCCCACCAAGUUGAAAUGAUCACACAAAAUUCCAUGUUUUUUGUCAUUUUCCCACCAUUCUGUUACUCUCCAAAACAUUCUCUGAGAACCCUAAUCCUAGCUCCUUACAAUACAAGGAGGAGAAACACUGCAGUUGGGCACUGAUUAAAUGUUAGUGUAACUCUUUAGCAUUCCAAAAGACUCCUUACCAGUUAGUAAAGAAAGAUGCUUUUACAGAUACCAAAGAGAAUGCCUGCAGUGGGGUAUUGCAUGAGGAAACCUGAGCUAUCUGGAAGUGAGUCCUCACGCACUGGAGCAGCUGAGCCAUUAGAGCAGGACUGUUCAGGUUAGGAGCGCGCUGCCUGGAUAGGUAUCUUCUGGGUCCAGUGUCAUAUCUCUUCUUGGCAGCUAAUGAACGGUAUUUUGGAUCAGAGCAGUUUUCAUAAGGACGUGUGCUUCUACAUUUUAGAAGAUUUUUAAUCUCUUGCCUCUAGAUGUGUAACCUGUAAUUUCCCUGUGAUAUUUAUGUUGCAUAUAUUUAUGUGUAAGUAACCGGUUGCAAAGAUUUGAAAAGCAAACCUGAUUUUUUUUUUUUUGCUGGACCUGUCAAGGAUUCAGUACAGAGCACUGGCGUGGGCUGACCUAAGAAGUUGUGGACUCUCUGUUCUUGGUGAUAUUUACAAGUCAUCUGGACGUAUAUUGUGCAGUGUGCUGUAGGUGACCCUACUUGAACAAGCAGAUUGGACAAUAUGACCUCCAGAGGUCCCUUCCAACCUCAGCCAUCCUAUGAUUCUGUGAAAAAUACCGAAGUUGGAAUAUUAGUUAAAAAAUAAUGAAUAGAUUAAUGGGCUGGAAUAAGAGACAUUUACUGGGUUCUCUGGAAUGAGAGGACAUUCCACUGAGCAUUCCAAAUCUACAAAUCAAGUUCCUAUGUGCUCAGGUAGUGACAGAAGUGUUGCUCUGGGACUACGGGAAUGAGCAUAACAACACUGAAUGGAAGCUGAGUAAAAGAAGAGAGGUUUUAGUAGCUCUGUCACCACUUGUCCAGAAGAAAAUUGCUGCUUUGGACUCCCAUGUUGAUUCAUUUUUCCAGUAAUAUGAGCUGUCUGGGAGAUUCGCUGUUCAUUCCUUUUGCAUAAAUGGUCAGGUGAAAGCUGGAAUACACAAUUUCUACUCCCCUCUGUGAAAUACAACUUCUUGACAUUGUUUAAUAAGUGUAUUUCACUCUUUUCCUGUUAGAAGCAGCUUAUAUAUUUACGUUUGAAUGACAAAGUAGUUAUAGAGAAAAAUAUCUCCUAUAAUUUUUCUGCAAACUAUAUUGUUCUUUAAUAUGAACACAACAAUAAGGUUGUGUUCAUAAACAUACUGUUACCAAUAUAAACAAUUACAAAACCAUAAAAAAAUAAACGCACACAAUAACCAAAAGUAUAAACCCACCACUACUAAAUAGCACUUCAUAGCUGUGGCUCUGAAUUAUUACUGCUUUACCAACACAGCCACAGUAUCCGACUUCAUAAAAUUCUCUGCUCUACAAAUUAAAUGAAUUGGAUAAUUAAGAAAACCUAUGUUUAGUCCACAAAGGGAAACCACCGUCACUAUAGCAUGAAAAUGAACCCACAUUUUAAAAAAUGGUAACAUUUCAUUUCCUGGCAUGCAUGAUCCAUACCUACUUGCUCUCUAUCCAUUCGUAGCUGUGCGUAUAGGGAAUUUAGAAGCUGGGCAGCUACUUUGCUUCUCAAGACAGCCAGGGACGCGCUACUACACUACUACAAUAACUUCAGGUGUAGAUUAGAAAGUCUUCAGGAGUGGGACUUUGGCCCCCACCCAUCUGCAAGACACUUAGUCAGUAUUAGGAAAUUGAGAACUACAGACUGAGAGUAGAAGGUUUGUUAUGAAAGACAUGGCAGAGGCCACAGAGAUGUGCAGGCAUUGCACUAGGACCUGUCACCCCCACUGUCAUAGCUGAAGACAGACUUUUAACUCUGCAUUUUCCUUCCUCAUGCCAAGAGAUGCCAAUUAUAACCCCUAAAAUAUGUUGGCUGUAUGGUGCUGCCUGAUUACCUUCAUUGCAUUAGCCAUAGGAACAGGGCAAAAACACACCUAUACUGAUGAUGUCAGGGAAUUAGGCAUGCAUGUUUUAUUCUGAACAGCAUCUCCAGAACAGUUGCUGGCACUAUGCCAGUUGCAUUUGACUUGUAACAUCUCAGUGUUUGCCAGCAGGAUUUUUUGCACUGUAUGCAGAUGGCCGGGUGUUAUUCUUCCUCCACCCACAUGCCUGAGUCCAGUAACAGCCCUGCUCCUGGCAAAAUUCAAUCUUUUCUCAUCUCUCAACCCAUGCUCAUUCUUACAUUAGUUUUUAAUUAAUCUACGGUUAGCUGAAGCUCCCUCCAUGAAUCAAUGAUUUCCUUUCAAUUCUUGUUAAAGAUUUUUCAUUUUCAUAAACUUGCAGCAUGUUGCUGAGAAUCAACUAACAGCACAUUUUUCUCUCAUUAUCGCAUCAGUGAGGAAUGGACCCGAUGAAGCAAAAAGAGCAAAAGUAUGGCACCGAGGACCUCCAGGCCCUUCUAUCUGUUCUAUACAAUUUCAGAUGCUGCAAAUGAAAACACUGUCUUUUGCCACCUUGAAAACCAUGGGACUGAUUUUUUCCUGGUGUAAAGUGCCAUAACUCUGUUUUGGCACACAGGCAAGUUACUCUGACUUACACCACCUGAAUAUUUGACAGCUCCUACUCUUUAGUUAUACUUUCUAACUAAGGGAACAGCCCUCAGUGAAACUGCCCCUCAAACAGGAAUUGCGGGAGUUUUCUGUGACUGCAUUGUUUCUAAACGCAAGUUCUUCUGUUAUUUGAUGAAGGCCUGAUCAGAGUGGGAUUCAAUUUACAAGCCUUUGGCAAAUUGAAAACAGUCUUAAGAAUCCCCAGACUUUCUGAUCACAUUUGCUUUAAAGAAAAGUGAAUACAUUAUGUGAAAUAGAGUGAUGAGCAUACUUACCCCUGUAGGUGGCACGGGAGGAAAAAUCACUAUUUAGUCAAUGAAGGAAAAUGCAAGACAUCAUGCAUUUUAAGCUAGUUUGUCAGAUCUGUGAGCUGCAGGCACUGGUACUAGGUCCAAUUAAAGACAGAGUCCUUUAUGGCUUAAGCCCAUGCUCACUAUGCAUGUGUAUUACAUUAAACCUUUUAUUUUCCCUUUUCUCCAGUUACUCUUCUGUGCAUUUUGGUCUAAAUUUUCAGAAAAUUGCAUGCACAGUUCCUACAAUUAUGCAUGUAAUCAAUGAGCUAUUUAUGUAUACAACUACUGUGACCAGGUAUGAAAAUUGCCAAGCGGCUUUUGCCAUUUUUCAGUAAUUUAGACCUUUGUCAUUUAUUCAUCCGCUUUUGUUCGAAACAGUAAGUUCAUGGAAAUUUAAUUCAUUUGAAACAUAUGCGUAGAUCCAUAUGAACUGCCCAAAAGCAUCACAAAGAGAAAGGAUAACCUUGUUGUUAAGGCAGGAGAGCGCGAAAUCUGGUUUCCAUUCCGAGUUCUGCCACACAUUUCCUGUGUAACCUUGGGCAAGUCAUGAACUGUAACCUAUCUAAGUGUGGCUGACCUACAUGUAAAGCAGACAGAGCAAUCCUUGCUUCACAAGGCUAUUGAGACGUUUUGUUUGUUAGCACAUGUGAAAAACAUUGAAACAAGUAAGUGGAAGGUGCUAUAGAUGUAUAAGCUAUCAUUAAUGAUAUUAUAUAUGUGAUACAUGAUUCGUACUCGAUCGUGAAACAGUAUGUCAAGGAGCAAACGUAGCCACUGAGAACUGAGCAAAGAAAAUGACAAACAAAUUCAAGUACGGAGAUGAACAAGAAUCAAACAGUGAUGGUGAGCAUGAACAGGCAUGUGAGUAAUUAACCUUUAUACUGCAAUUUUUACUGUCCUACUUGGUCUUGCCCUUUUACAAAAGGCUUAAGUGUCCGAAGACAUAUGAGAAGCACUGAGUUAGUUAAUUCAGCACUGACCACCAUGCAGUCUGUUUGAUCAGCAUGAAUUCUUUAAUCAGGACAAUUCUGACAGUUAUGUCGGGUAUUGGAUAAAGGCUUGUGGAGAGCAUUAUGGCGUUGUACUGAUCCGGAUAGCAUGUUCAUUUAUAGGAAAAUGUGCCCUCUUUCUUUCCUUAUUCACCAGGACAGAACUAUUAAGUCAGUUCUGUUGCUGCAGUUCCUUUCUUAUUUUUCAGAUAAAAUGCAUUUAAAUUUGCACAUCCCCUCACCAUUUGGGGCACGGCCUUAUGGAAGACAUAUAAAUCGUGACAUAUUCUCUGAGAGUACAUCUCCUUUUAAAAAUGACCUCAUUUUGUAGCUGAUCCAUGUACGGCAUUCACACUGACAUCAUUAGGAGUCUAGACUAUGACUAGUACAGCAAAAUGCUCCCUAUGUUGCUGAUCCAGCUAGGAUAAAAUGUUACGUCUUGGGUCUCAGUUUCCAUUUUGAUUAACAGAACCUUUCUUUUUGAGAUCCGAAACAAAGCAUUUGAGAAAAUGUGACAAUAUUUUUCUUUACCUUGGGAAAACACUUUGAUGAGUCUUUAUGUCACGUGUGAUAUUUUGGGGGAGGUUCUGAAAAUCAGAAUUGGCAAAGGAAAAUGGAAUGAAUGAAGAAAAUUCUAUAGGUUAAGUUUUUUUGAUCUUCGGGCAAAUGUUUUAUCGUAUGCCUUGAUUCAUACCUCUGAAGGUGAUGAUCAUCCUUUGAGUUUGUGUUCAAUCUGCAACUGAGAAAGCAAGCUUACUGAUAAUGUUCCUAAAUUUGCUACAGUGAGCUUUGUGCUUUCAAUGUGAAAUGCUUAGCUGUGCACAAAAUGAAAGUUUGAGAAGCACUGCUCUACAGAAAGUGCACAGAGGUUCUGGGAAACAUGCUAUCUGUGAAACCUAGCUGAGAGGAACUCAUCAGAAAGAGCUACCAGCAGUGUUAUAUUCUGCUUGCCUGUUACCGUCUUUGCUUUCCCACAGUUUGCUUUCUGCCCAAAAUACCUAAUUUCAUAAGUGACCUGAGAGCACCCAGCUAACCUAAACAGGCCUUCACAUGAACUCUUCUCCAUGUUUAGCAUAGCUUCUACUCUUAGUUCAUUAUCUGGGGCAACUCAAACCACAGCACCUGUCCAACAUGUCCAGGCUGGGCACUGGGGGCUGCAGGGAAAGAACCACACGAGGCUAUUUGUGUGGCUUGCUCCCAGGGGUGCAGAGCCUCCCACUUCAUCACACCCGCCUCCACUGCUGCCAUGCUCCAUCACGUCAACAUUCAUGCAGAAAAGCUACCCUGAUUCCCAUUAACAGUGUGCAAACAAUAAGGGGUGGGUGUGAUAGGCCACUGUGACCUUCUGCAGCACAUUGGCCCUCUGCAUUCUCUGGAAUUCUUCUCUACUUGAACUGGAGCAAACCUUUUGGAAAAAAGAUAUGAUCUUGAUUUAGUAUUUUCCAAUGAGGGAAAAUACACUAUAAACUUUGGGAGAUUAUUUCAGUAGCUAAUUAAAGCCAAUUAAACCUCUGUGAAGAUCAUGAGGAAGGUCCUUAUCAGCUGCUGAGAAAGAAUCCAGAUUUACUGCUUUUAUAUAUGAAUUGCACGUGUUAAUUGGUGGUGGUGGUGGUGGUGGGUUGUUUUUUUUUGUUUUUUUUUAAAUCACUGAUUGUAAUACAAAAAAAGGAAAAAAAAAUCUGGUCAGCAGAAUGAUUAAAUGAAUCACUAUUUCUUUCCAGGUAAAGUGUUGAUCGAACCUGUUAGAUAUUACCUUAAAAAUGGAGAUACUAGGCACAUGCAGUGGGAGUAGUUUCACCAUGCUUUAGCUGGUCUUCAUUACAUGUGAGCUAGUUAAUGGAAAAAAACAGGCACAACAUGAUUCAUUUGAUCUUAGGCAUACACCUACCUUACAUUUGAACAGAUGAAUCAUGUUUUCAGUAUGUGUGACAGUUAAGAAAAUUUGGGCAGUGGCCCUAAUUCGGAGCAACCAGGAAAUGGCCUGCUGAAAGUGAUCUACCUGAUGGAAAACGAUCUGCAAAUGGCAUGGUAGGGGGAGUGGACCUUUAGCUCAAAUCCAUGGUGUUACCCCUACUAUUAGGUCCUUGGAGUGCUGUGGAGAAGUACUCUAGAGCUGCCUCAUGACUAGGUUGUAAUUGUAAUUGUAAUUUAGUCCCACUGGUCUAGGUAAGGUCCUGGAGCUGGUAUGGAUCAUAUGAUUUAGAUGAACCUGGAAGGAAUGAAGUGCAUGCACUCUGUGAUGUCAACCAAAUCACAGCAAGGGAAAAGCACUGGUGAUUCACUUUAGAAGUAUACUCUAGGUCUUUGUGACAGUGUUAAUGUUGAGACAGCCCAAGUGCUUUGCCUUCAUGACAAAAAGGUAUGCAGAUCUGUUCUCAAAACUGGUGGCUAGAUCUCAGUUGGUGGUCAUUAUUUCUCUCUUCCAGACAUUCCCAAAGGCAAAUAAAGUAGUCUACUCCUUCUUCUGUCUUGGUAUGUGUGGUUGCUGACUUCUGUCAAAUACAGCUUGUAUGUUCAGGGCUGCAAUGUGUAUCAGCUUUGGAUAAAAGUGCCUAGGGAGCAGCUGUUUGCCUGGGUUUCAGACUACGGUUUAGCUACUACCUUUUGAGGAAGCAUUUAAUCAUCUGUGUUUCUCUUUCACCUGAACACAUGAUUAAGCUUACAGGCCAAAUCAGUUUGGUCAAAACCAGAUGUCCAUCAAAUCUAGGCAAUGAAAUCCUUUCUCUUCAUACAAAUCCCCCGCUUCAGUGCUGCAGAAAUACCCGCUUCCUUCUCUGCUUGGGUUUUUGUAAACCUACAGGUUUUAAAAGUAUUUGUUACUUUACACUUUGAUAUUGGGUAUAAUUUCUUCCACCGGUAAGGGAAAUAACCAGGAAUGAAGUUCUUUAAAUUCUAAGUUUAAGAAGACAGAUCCAUCUUUCAUUCUUCUGUAAGUGUUAUGUUCAUCUACAGGCUCUAUAGUUAUAAAGGUGAGAGCUUCAGAGGUCAGAUGAGAAACAUUGCUUCAACAAUGUUGGGGGUCAUCACUGGAAUGUAAGAGAUUGUUUUAUUUGUAGAAGACUCAGCAAUUGUCAGAGGAAUAUCAUCUACCUUCAUUAUCCUCCAAAGAAAUUACCUAAUAGUUUGCAAUGAGGGUGACUUUGCAGAGGAUUUGCUUUUGUUUGAGUCAUCGUCUCAAAAUAAAGAAAAACAUUUUACUCUUAAAUUGUAAUUUUCCUUAGCUCUUUAAUGCCAGCUGAAAUUUAUACUGUUACCAACCAACGUAUGCUUUUUACAUUUUCUCUCCCUUUGAUAUACACCUAAUCAAAUAAAUAGGCAAAAAUAAUAAUUUGCUGUACUUUUAACUUAAGAUCCAAAAAAUUCCCCAAGAGAAGCUGGAUUUAAUUUCUAGAUAGGGAAGCCGAGGCAGAGGGAGCUCGAGGGCUUUGCUUGGGAUCACACAGGAGGCCAGCAAUUGAUUUGGGAAUAAAAUCCAGGUGUGCUGGUUAAUUUCUACAUGCAGUUCCCUAACCAACACAAACCUCCCAAUCCCUUCUCUCUACAGCCGUAUCUCAUUUCUGUGUUUUGGAGAAGCGUUACUUUAGUGCAAGGAUCCAAAGCAAUACCAGUUGUCUUAGUUGAACUUAUUGAAUUUAAAACUCAGUAGUGUUUUGCAUUGAAGUAUGUGACAUGUUUAUCCCACUGCUCAGUUCCUAUCACAGAAACGAAACUCUCAUAAAUCUCAGUGCUUAUAAUGUCUGCUAUCGAAAGAUCGGGUCACUGAGAAGAAGAAGAAUGCGACGGAACGUGGCAAAAACGUUCAGCUGUUCCUGUGACAAACAGAGCCGAGGGAGAUUCUCUUCCCCUAUCUUUCUAAAGAGGCUGUUCGUUGUGGAGCAGCAGGUAGUUGUUAACAUCUCUAAAGGGUGGCCCGUCCGUGCAUAGAUGUGGAGGUGGAAUUCGGAGCACUUGUCUGACCCAAGCAGGAAGGGGCUGUUCCGUUUAACGAGGGCAAGCCCAGCCACAAAGAAGUGAUAAUGGAGAUGCCAUUGACGACAGGGAUACAUGCAGAAGCCACAGAGAUUCCUCCUUUUGUCUCCGGACUGAUCACAAGGAUCAGAAUUCAUUCACACAUAGAAAGAAACAAUUGCCCGAAGUGCCCGAAGGAAAUGCAGAGAGCCGAGUCCCAGGUAGUGUAAACUAAGAAUCUUUCUGUUCAUGCAGAAGAAAAAUAUGCUCGUUCCAAGUCCACAUGCAUAGAUAGCGAGCUGAACUUUUAAUUUUUUUUUUAAAACAGAAUUAGGCAAGUACUUUCUCUGCUUCCUCCCACAAAAUGCCUUGGGAUCUUUCAGCAGAUUCCAACCAUCGAGUUGUUGCCUUUUCCAUUUGGUCUAAAAGAAAUCUACGUUUUGUUUUUGUUUUUUUUGUCCUCCCCAAUUAGAUAAUCUUUAUUUUUCAUUCAUCUCAGGUCUAGCUGCGUCGCUUUGACCUCUCUGUGAGGCCUGGGUAAAUCCUGAAGAUGCUGGGCCACAAUUCUUAAGAAGGAAACUUCAAGUUCUUUCCGCUUCACUUCCCCUUCACAUGUCUGAGGCAGUUAGCGUUGCUGCCCCAUAGUCUGCGUGGCAGGAGCUGUGUGCUAGCUGUGGCACCCAUUGUCUGCAUUUUUCCUCUCGUUAGUCUCCUUGACCUUUCAUUGUCUUACUCCUGCAGUGUCAGGUCAGACUUAGUGUAGGUCUCCCUUCACUAAGGACCCCUUUCCUUUCGUGGAUCACUAAGCAGGACAAUUGCUCUAUCCAUCUUUUCAGGGUCUAUUGUCGAGCCCCCCCUGAGCUGAGAAAGGUUUGAUUCACUGGGAAACCAUUUUGGUCAAAGGGAAGCCUGACUAUGUGUCCUUUUAGGAACUCUGUCUUAAUCACUGACUUUUUUAUCUGGGAUAUGAAGAGGAUUCAGGAGAUCAAAAGGUUUGGGAGUACAUGGGUUUGACCACAUUUUUCCUGGAAAUAAUGGGAAACCUCCACUGAAAAAUGAGCUCCGUUACAAUGGGCAAACAAGAAGGAAAGCCACAUAGUGUUCCCAGAGCAUUCUGAAUCAUCGGACCUUCAAUAGCUUCCAUAAAGAAGGGAAAAAGUAAACAGAAAAAGUAAAUGGAAUGUAAUAAUUAAUGGACCUGAAGAAUAAGACUCAUUUUAUUUGCGCAUAAUCGGUGCUUUUGAAAAAAAGAUAAGUCAAAAGGAAUUGACAGAGCAGAUGGAGAAGACUUCUUGAUGACUGGAAGUUCAGUUGGGCUGAGCAUGUAGCAGACACACAUGUAGUUACUCAGAAUUAGUAGCUUGUGUCACCUUGACAAGUGACUGUACACUCAGUGGUUCGAUAUUCUUCCUAGGACCAUGAUGCGGAGGCCUUGCUGAAGCACCACAGUGGAACUAUGCUGGGUUUGAAGGAACUACCUUUGUCACUAGGUGUUACAUGUUCAGCCACAUACAUGCCAAUGCCUUGAAAAUUUCAUCUUGUGAGGGACAGACAUCCAGACAUCUACUUUUUCUAGGCAUUAUUUGUGCCUUUCCUGGCUAUGGAAUGCACCCCAGUAUUAGCAAGUUUAUAUUUAAACUUCAAUAUUUGCUCACAUAUUUUCCUGAGUCAAAUAAAAAGUGCCAGCUGGAUGUUAUGAGUGCCUUUGUACUGGCCUUUGGAUGAGGAGCUGCAGCAGGCUUCAAACAAGGUCAAACUUACAGGUUAUACCUUUAUUCCCCAGCAAGAAAGGGGGGAAAUAAGCCUUUAAAAUACAAAACAAAACAAAACAGAAACCUAGAAAACUCAUCUUAAAAGAAAAAUUCUCACCAGGUAUGAAGACUAUAAAGUGAUACCAUACCAGACCACACGUCUGAAAUGUUUCGAGGAGAGAUGAGUGUAGAACUGGAUGAGAUGCGAAGCAUUCCUAUUUUCUAUACUGAAAUUUCUGAACCUGAUGUUUCUUCAUUGGAAAACAGACAUAACCCUUUGGAUGCUUACAUUAAGUAUGCUUAGAACAAUUUGUUUUUUGUUGUUGUUGUUUUGUUUUGUUUACUGGUGUAUCUGUAUACAGUAACUUUCAUGCCAUCUUAAUGUGCUCCUGCCAUUUAACUUCACACUGUCAGCUGAUCUCUUAAUGUCAGCAGUGCAACUUUCUGUCAACACUACUAAGUAGAGGUGUCCAGGAUAUUAAAUAUGCUUGAAUUUAUAUACAAGAGGAAGGGAAAAAGUGAUUCAAGCUCUUCCUGAACUGCAGAAAGACCUGAAUUGUGCUUUGGUGGAACUGCUCCAGAACAAAAACUUCUGCUCCAGAAGAGUAUUUAGUUCUGAUUCUUAGUAGCACUAAAUAUCUUUUUUUUUUUUUUUCUAUUAACAAGUGCCAAACACAUGAGGAGAAAAUAUGAGCUGGUAGAAUUAGUAUAGCUGCAGUUUUACACUUCCCAAAGGUCGGAGAAUGCUCUGGGAUACAUUUCAGAUACAUGAGGGAAGGCCUUCAUAUAACGGAAAUGCAGUCUCGUGACAUUAAACUGUUUUGGAAAACGGUUGCAUUUUAUGUAAUGUUCAACCCUGAUAAAGAGAAUUUUGCUGAAUAUUUCUAAGCACUAUCUAUCACAAAUUAAGAGUAUGUGGAAAAGCCACCGAUUUCACCUGUGUAGUGGAAAUGCUAAGUCACAGCCUGAAGCAGUGAUUGAGCACCUGGUGGGAAGGCUGGGCCAACCCAGGGGAGCUCAGGUGCACACAAUGCCCCUUCCCAGACCUCAUUUAAGGGUUGGCAGUGGAGGCAAUGCUAUUUUGCUAGAGAUGCCUGUGGCCUUCUAAGGGUGAGUAGAGUCUUUCUGUUUUCUUUCUGCAUUCAUAGUCGCUGCAUUUGAGCAUAUCCUUACUAGUUGCAGUCUAGGACUUUGCUACUAUACAGUCAUUGCUGUGCGUUGUGUUAGAACCUGGUAUUCCAUAUGCAAGUUACUUAUUUUCUAUGUGUUUUUGAUGACUUUAUGAUGGGAACCUAACCCUUUAACUGCACUGUGCCUCACGUGGCUAAAAAUGUUACAUCAAAAUGUAUUUAAUGAGUAAGAGAGAUAAAUGUUUUCAUUAACUUCAAUGGCUAACAUUAAGGCUAUUGAUAGAAAACACCCUAGAUGAAGAAAGCUUCUAUCUGUUACUAAAGUUACUCCUUUAACCUACCCAUCAGCAGGGCGUUGUAGGCAAAGGCUUUCUAAUGCAUUUUUGUCAAAACCAGCUAGGUUAUUUCAAUCUGAGCAUCUGUUACGUGGCAGCCUUUAAAGAAAUUAUGUUUACCUCAUUUAAAGGUCUUGUAUGUCAUACUGCCUGGAUGUUUUGAGCUAUCUCAUAUUGUUUAGUAUUCCUUGUGUCUCAAAAUGUGUCUUGGGUGGGCUGCUACUCUUCUUCCCUUUGAAAACACCAUGCUGUCCCUAGGUAUCCUCACAAUUCAGCCUUUCUUGAUGAGCUGACUUUAGUAAAAGUGAUUAUGGACCUCAGGAGAAACUAAUUUUCCUGAUUGAGAAUUAGGUCAAGAAUUUAACUUAGCACAGAUAAGUCUCACGUAAUUUGGAAAUCCUGAUACUGCUUGCCUUUUCUGUCAGCAGACUGGUGGGGGCAAGACCUCCAGCAAAGUAAUGAUAAAAGGAGGAAGGUCACCUCCUCUGUUAGCACAUCUGGAUCAGGAAGAAGAUGAUUUACUAUCCUCACUCUAAACUCCUAUUGAAAUGAACAAUCCUUUUCCUCACAAAGGGCUAGUGGCUCUGCUGCAUAUUUAACUGAAAUGGUAGUAUGGUCAGUCACAUAGCUGAAGAUCUAAGAACUAUAAUAUGAUUGAACUAAUUGCUUCCAGAGGGCAAAGAAACAGAAAGAAGCUAUAAAAAGGUAUGCAGUAUUUGAAAAUCAGUAAAUCAGUUUUUUUUUCCUUCAAAUAAUACUGCUUGUAGAGCUUUAAAUGCCAGAUGGAACGUAAAUUGUUAACUAUUAUUUCUUGUAAGUGUUCAUGUUUUCUGUCCUCUGUUAAAUCUUAAUCUCCAUAUGUUGGUUCAUGCUAACAGCUUCCACAGUAAAAUGCAGUACAUACAAGUGGGCAAAAUGAUGGUGUGUUCUGAGUAGUUACAGUCAGUUGCUAACUGUUGAUGUUGUAUUCAACCUUGUAACUUUCUAAUAUUGAGAUAAUGAGCAAGUGCAAAACUGUAUUAACUCUUCUUUUGUAGCUGCUUGAUCAGUAAGUAGCUGGUUAAAGGAAAGAUUCCCACUAACUUUAGUGGUCUGUGAAUCAAGCUCUUGAUAUAUAUAGAAGGUCCCUGAAAACAAAGUUUUAUUUUUUAAUGUAUUGUCUCAUUUGUUGAAUAGCAUGGCUUACUGCCCAGUGUUAUGGCAGUUCACAAUGACUAUUCUUCCCACCCAUUCUCCUUCUCCUCCUUCCAUUAAUCAGUGAUGGGUUGAAUUCAAAUGUUUUGGAAGUUCAGCCUGGUUUUGAUGUGAUAGUACAUAAAAAUAUCUACAGAGUAGUUAUUAGGGUGCUUGGUGUGGCUGCAUUUGUCCCGGGGAAACCUCCCCCUUCUUUCUGAGAGCAGCAGCACAUUUUGUGGGAAGGUUGGCAGCUCUACAAGGUCCUCUUUGAGGCAGGCUCCACUCCCUCUGCCCCAGUGGUACAUCCAUCAUUUUUGGUUUUCCUUUCCAAAAUGCUUUUCACAAAAGUCACUUCCUUGUUUCACAUUACUCCAUGCUCUGUGAAUUCACACUGGAACAUGCUGCGAACCAGAUCCAUAUCUGGUGUAAAUCAGCAUCAUCCUGCUACUCUCAGUGGAAAUACAAAACUUGGUAUCUACGGAGGAUCUUAUCCAUGAACUCUAAGCAGGCACUUUUGGUAGAGAGAAAAUGGGUUUGUGUGUUCUGGGGAGAGGUACUGCAAGGGGCAGCAAAUGGAAAAUCCUACCUAAACAUUAAGGAGUUUAUCUUCACUAACCUUUCUAACAUGAUAAUUUUGGAUGAACUUCUGCGCUUUGUACCCUGAUACUGUCCAUUUCCAAGUGCUAGAAAUUGGUGUGGAACAAAAAAAAGGGUCUGAGCUGUUGAUGCUGUAUAAAGGAGCUCAAUUAGUAUCAUCAUAAAAUAACUUUGUAUAAGCAUAUCCUCUGCACUCUCAUUUCUGUCUAUAACUGUUCAUGCUAAGCACCUAUUUCAAAAGCUGCUCCAAGUUUAUUCAAGGAUGCGUUUAGUCUGAUCUGCAGCAUUUGUCACUUGUUGGCCAAAACUGACAUAAGGGAUUUAAAUGUGCUGCUUCUAACGUGGUGACGCUGCCUUUAAUUUAGCAUAAGUGAUUAUAUAUGUUUGACUGUCAAAUCACUGUAUGUAGCUUUUGUGGUUGGGGGACUUGUUUUAUCAAAGAAUUCUGCUGAACCUCUUCCAAACCAGAACUCUCAUGUGUAUAAUUAUAUUGUAUUUUCAUUAUAUAAACUGUAUUUUUAAGACUGAAAACAUAUGAAAUGAUUAUGGGAACGUGCAUUCUAUACGACACCACCAAGUACUUGUGGGAAGAGAAGCUUAUAACAUAAACCAAAUGUUGUCAUUAGUAUACAGGUACAAGAUGCAUCCUUGUGACCUGUGAAACUCUUAAGGAUGAAAUAGAAGGAUCUGCAAACACACGCAAUUGCACUUCAGGUUGAAUGAAAUUUAUAGCAAACUUUACUUUGCAGUGAAUAAACACCUCAGUGGUACUUAAUGGAAGUAGAUGUCAAAUAUUCACAGCUCGCUGUUGAGCCUGUAGCCAAGUUAGGUGCUUUCAAAAUACCUUUCAAAGGGAUACUUCUGCAAAUGCUUAUUGCUUCUUUAAUGCGUCUAAUAGGUGUAAAUACAAUGCUGUAAGUAUUUUGGUGUUUUAACCCAAUUGUUUUUCUGGGAUUAUGUCUUUAGUUUACUUCAAUUGUAUUGCUGUAACUGGAAUUAGAUCCUCAUAGGGUUCAAGUAGGUGCCACAGAGACCAGCCUUUUGAGACAUCUGCAAUACAGUAUUGAUUAAGGCAGGGACCAAAAUCAUGUCCAAUAGCAAGUCUGGCUAAGGGAUGUGAGCUGCGUAAGUUCUGAGCAAAUCAUCAACACUAUCGUGUCAGCAGAAUGUGCUUAUUCAUAGAUUUAUUAUUAUCGUUAUCCUCUUAAAAGGCUGUCAAGCAUUGUCCUUAUGCUUAAAAACAACAACAACAACAACAGAACUGAAACAUCAUGUAGAAGUAAGCAGCCUACUGAGAAUAUACCAAUACAUGUGUCCAUAGAGUUCAGUGCUUGAAUUCGAUUCUCCUUUUGCACCCUUACGCUGUUGCCCUAAAUAAUAAGCUGUCUGUUAUUCCUAAUGCCUUUGGUGGCUCCAUAGAGAGUAACCUUGCUAACUUUUUUUCCCCGUCUCAGUAACUUUAGCUUAAUUAACAGUGAUUCUUAAAAAUAAAAAAAUAGACCUCAAAGGGUAGAAGGAAUCCACAGGGUGUUUUGUGAAAGUGAAUCACUGCAUGUUUGUGUGUGUGUGUGUAUAUACAUACAGAGUUACAUAUGUUCACGCAUGCAGAAAACCAGAGAAAGCAUCUGUCAUCAGAACUAUCUGUGAGUCACCUCAGAUAAAUGCUGUUUCAAGGCAAUCCUAUGCAAUAGAUUAAACAAUGUCUUCAGUUUGUGGCAGAGAGUUUAGGCCCAGUCAUUUACAAGCUAAAAAAUAGGUCAAGGAAUAGUGGUGAUAACUUGCCUUAUCGCCGGGCUGUGUAUGUGAGACCAUUGUCAUCCGUAGCUCCUGAGCAGUGUGCUGAUGUGGGUGCUGAGCCCUCUGCAGAGCUGGCAGCACAGGAGUCACUGAUGUUACAGUGCUGCAAACCUGAGCAGAAAAAUCAGGGCUGGGGUCUUAACAAGAGUUUUUUUUAUCACAAAUGUUGACAAGGACAACAAAUGCAGAAUACCUGAGUUCAAUGAAAUGUCCUGAGUUGCCAGAGAAACCAUCUGAAGGCAGCUUUGCAGACUCAGUGCAGCAAAUUCCUGCAGCACAUUCCAGAAGUCCCCAGCCUGAGUCACUCUGAGCUCAAUUGCAGAGCUUGGAAGCUGAUGAAUCACUGUUGAGCAGUAUGUAUGUUUUUAUAAUCUUUGCUUUAAGUAAUGUCCAUUCAAGAUCUAAGCUAAUGACCAUUGGAUAAGGGUGCAGAUGGAAUGUGGUUUCCACAUUUGGAAGCCUGCUGUGAUGAAUCUGUUCUUUAAGUGUGUUUAUGUUUGAGGGACUUUGCAUGCAGGCUAUCUCCUCAAUGGCAUGUUAAACUCUGCUCUCCAAGGAGAAGAGUGCAAGAGAGGUAGAAGGGGGAGGAGAAGAAUCCAAAAGAGUGGAAAAAGCUGCAAAAUGCAUUUCUUUAGAAGCACUGAAGUUGAUUUUUUUUUUUUUUGCAAGGUUUGAAGCGUCCUUCUCAUUCAAGGGAGCUCUGAUAACUCACCACAGAUUAUUACAGUGUUGAGGGGUCCGAACCUGCGGAGCGGGUCACUGUUUUCAGUAUCUUCACGAUGAAUGCUGUUUGUUUGUAUGCUGUGUUCAAACACUGAAAUGAUUCAAAGCGCUUGCAGAUUUUUGCUGAGAUUCUAAGCUUUAUUAAUUUUGCACCGUCUCCUUCCUUCCUUCUUCAUCUCCAUGCACGUGCUUUAUUUCAGCACAGCAUUUAGGCACAGCUCCCAUCACAGGCGUACUUCCACUGGAGAUGACUCAUUCACGUGUGGUGUUCUGCAGACCCACUUCUGCAGCUUCUUACAGUUCAUACAAUCAUUAAGGUUGGAGAAGACCUCUCAGAUCCUCUAGUCCAACCACCCACAUGCCACCAGUAUUGCCCGUUAAACCACGUCUCUAAAAGCAUAGAGAGUUUAGUUCCUAAAGCACGGAGAGACUUGAGCUGGAAACGUAAUGAUUGGUCUGAAGACAACACGGGAUUAGCCUCGGCUUUCCUCCCAAACUAAUGUAAACAAAUUCCCUACUCCCGAAAUAACUCGCGAGAUACCUUUUCCCCCUCCUCGCCCUGAAGUAUUCCUCUGUGCUUCCUGAUUUUUGGCAGGGACGUUUCAGAAAUAGCUAUUACAAUGAUGUUUCCACUCUGAAAGAGGAAGCGCUGGGUGGGAGGAGUUAGGAGAGGAGCAGAGGAAGCGAAGCCGUUUCGUGCCAUCUCGGGCUGAGCUUCCACAGCAGAUAGGUGGGAACGCAUCUGGGUGCUGAGCCACCAGAGCCCACCCUCGCCCUGCACGAGGCCAAACGUGAGCACACAAGGCAUGGCAUGCGUGGCCCCUCGUAUGGCUCGGCACAGCUGAUGCUGACAGCUCGGCACUGCUGAGCAGAGUGAAUGAGGCGAGGUCAGGAGGAAGGCAGCAGCGGGCUCCCCUCCCUGCGUUGUACAUGAAAGGUGCUGCCGGGACGGCUCGCCAGUGCGGCUUUGUGUGCAGCAGUCAUGCUGGAGAAGCUGCUCUGUCACAUGUUUGUCAGCCAGCCAAGAUUUUAAUUCUGAACUUUUCCAUGAAACCAAUAGCUAUAUUCUCUGGCUCUGGCCCGCUCUAGUGCUUGGCCAGGGCUAUGGGAAUGAAAUGUCAAAGCAGCCUGUCUAUGAAUUGAGAUUGCUUUCAUGCGUCUCCACCUGCUGGCUGGCAUUUCACUAAUUGCAGUAGCCUGUAGGGAUGACAGUGGACUUUUUGAAGCGAAGGGCUCACGUGGGAAGCGUAACUCAGCUCUAUGAGGAGACAAACAAAUGAGUGUGAUCAAAGAGAUCAUUUCUAACUUGACAAAGAGUGCUGUCCUGCAUCACAGGUAGAAGGCCACUGAGGUUUUCAAGCCACGCUUUUGAGCUUCUGAAGCCUCAGCUGAAAGAUAAGCACUAAGAAGGAUUUUUUUUGGAAGGAAUUCGCCAAGUGUGGAGACAUUAACAUAUUAUUUCACGACUAAAACCAGAUGCUGAGGAUGCUAAUGUGCUCUCAUUGACACAGUGAAAGAGGGAAAUAUUUAUUAAUAUCUGGAAGCAUGAGCAUUCUGGGGCCCGCAGCCUAGUUUCUGUGUGGUUAGGAAAGCAGUUACUUAGCAAAUGUGGGCAGGCAGCUGUUUUGAAUGGAAAGGAAUAGAAAUGAUUAAUGACUUUUAUGCUUUAAAGAAAUGAACCCACAGGAUUUCUUUCUUCUACUGUGCUGUCCCACUUGGCCAUUUCUGUCAUGUGCUCUGGGACUUUCUUUGGAAGUUUUCAAUGGUCUGUCUUGAACUACUCUUUAGAAACUUACUGGACCAGAUCUGGAGCCAGACAGAUGCCAGCUGUGGAUCUGAUCCAUUUGCACGUACAUUCACAGGCUCAGAGCACAGAUUACCAACACUUGAUAUUCCAUGAACUUUGCACCACGCCCGCAAUAGAAUAUCUUGCUCUCAGAUACUGCAGUGAUGGGUGCAGUAUUAAAUCCUAUGUAGAGAAGAAUUUUCCCUUUUUCUUAGCUGCAUUUUGUUUGGGCUAUAUUUUACAAUGUGGAAGGCAAGAGGCGUUCUCAGGAACUGAAACAAUGCAGGGCAUAAACCCUUUCUUUGAUAAUGUCUGAUGUCAAUACUGAUUAUUGAUGUUUUACCAUCUUCUAUACUCAUGGGUUGUUUCAUUCUGCCAAUCUGCUCUGUCAUCUGUUUCUUGUGUAUGUGUUCAUUUAGCUCCUUAGGUCUUGCAUGUGCGGCAACAGAAGGUGGGAGGUAGAAAAGGUUAAAAAGAAGAUGAGGAAGAGAAAGAGGAACGUGGAGAAAAAGAAAAAGGAAGGCUGUACAAAACACUGAUAUUUUCACUGAAUUGCUCACAGUGAAUCAUUCAGCCAGUGUUGCUGAAGCAGUACUUACUGGGGACGAUCCCAUUGUCCUGGGAGUUGACUUUAUGGAAUUAUUUCCAGUAUACUUCUGUUCUGUGCGUGAUUUGAUCCGCUGAAGGUUCCGUUCCCCUAUUUUUGGAUUAUGUGUUCAGAGUGCCAAAGUGUGAAAUAGGAAUGAUUUUUAUUCCAAAGUAUUCCUCCACUUCAAAAGUGUUGUUCCAUAUUACUAAGCAUUGGGAACAGGAUUUUAACUAUAGAAAGCGGUGAAGGUGCCCAUUACAUAUCUGUAUAAUUAAGCACCAUCAAGCAUAUUUAUUCCAUAGCUAGACAAGUAACAUUGGAUAUAUUUGGUUAUUGUUAGCACUACACAUCUGACUGAAUUAGCUAGCUGUGUGAACUCCAUGUAUCAUGUAAUUUAGAAGGUGUAUGAGUUUAAUACAUCCUGAAUGCGUCUAAUACCUUGGCUAAACACAGGCACCGAGCUAGAAAGAGUUCUCGUAGAUCACUUUAAGACACAGCAGGACUGGAAGAUGAUAUUUCCUUGUCUGCAAGUAUAUCGCUCUCAAGCCAUCGUUUCAACACAGGAAGUUAUCUGCUACCUGGGGUAACAAUGUGCGCUCGAGCACAAUUGGUCUGCUGUCUGAUGACAUUUAAGAAUUAGCCACAUAAGGAUUUCUUACAACACUGUCAAAGUAGUUCAACUGAUCAUUUUAACUGAGCUUAUUUAAAAUUCCUGAAUAUACUGGUGCAAAAUGAAAGUAACUUUUGCACACUUGCACUGCACGCUUCACUUACAUCAGUUAUUUUCAGUCUAGGAGUGAAGACUCAAAUGAGUAGUGCUUCUCUUUCUGUGUGUGUCUCUCUAGAUGCUUGCCAGGUGGACAGCUGAAUUAGCACUGGUGCCAUUCAAAUCUUCUAACACAAGGAUGAGCUUUAUACAUGUUGGUACACAAAAUCCCACAUAGAGUGGGAUUCAGACCUAUGUUCAGACCACUUCACUGAAAGCAGCAGCUGGUCCAAUAGCCUGAAUCUUCUUUCAGGGGCUAUUUUGGAGAUUGCUAUCACUCAGGCAGGAACUAUGAUUGUGUAUACGAGUGUGCAUUUCUGUGCUGCUGAACAUGUGAGGAACGGACCUAUUUUCUCAAGUUGAUUCUUACUCUUCUUUUUUUUUUAACUGCAAAAUACUUCCUGAAAACCUCUCCCUGGUAACCUUGGAGGGUACAGCAACAAGCAUGGUGGUUUUAUUCCUACCUGGACCAUCUAGUUGAUGUGCUUAUGGAUGAGUUUUGUCCUCUCUUGUUUUUCUGACCUUUUUUAGUUUUCAGACCUGUGCAUCACUGAAGUAUUCAUCAUCAUCUACUCUUGUUUGACACUGUCUCAGUUAACACAACCUUUGGCUGUCAUAUCAGAAUGUCUUUAAAGUGUCCCCAGUGAAAGGUCUCCUUGUAGUGCAGUAUUUCUGCAUGAAGAGGUGUGUGUGUGUGUGUGUGUGUGUGUGUGUGUGUGUGUGUGUGUGUAAAAAAAGCUAUGAACUUCAUAUGGUUUUCCAAAGUGUGUUGCUGCUAAGCAGUAUGUGAGGCAGGUGAGGAGUCCUUUGUAUCGUUUGCAAAUAAGUCACAUACCAGUUGGUGUUCUUGGGCCUUACGAUUGCACUCCAAAUGAAGAAACACUGAUUAUGAAUGUUUCCCUACAAAUACCCUUAUUAGCGUUUUUGUUUUGGCAAGGGAAUUAUUACCUGCAAAUCCUUUGCCAGUCUCUGGGUAUAAUAAUGAAUAAUUGUGAUGGAAAAUAAGUCAGUGGGAAAUAGAUUAUCUGAGAGGCAAGUGUCUGGUGAGCUGUGCAUUACUCUGAUAGGGAUUGUCUAAUUGUACGAAAGACUAUGAAAAUGGAGCAGAAAAGUGGGCAAUCUAGGUAGAAAAAGACAGCGUGAAGUCGUCUCACAGGUAGUGUGCUGUUUGUGAUAUUAAUGUAAAUGAUGCCUGACAAGACAGCCAGCGGUGUGCAUCUCUGCAGAAUGACUGGAAGGCCAGUUUAGGCAGAUGGCUUUGAGGUGACUCCUUGCAGUGAAACCUCAUCUAGGGCAGGACUGGUCCCUGUCUCACAUGGGCAGCCAAGGAGCAGAAGGAGGCAAGCCACCUUUUGCAGGUUCUGGCUCAGAGCAUUCUCUCUCUGCGUUCUGCAAGCUGGGGCUUGCAAGCAGCGGGGCGGAAGCAAGCUGUACUCUAGCAGCACAAAUAUUGAAGUAACUUACUUCCCCGGCUGGAGCAAGGAGGAACCGUGGAAGGAAUUGCAGCUCUCUGAGUCACACUUCCUCCUUGGAGUUUCUCUUGGAGUAGCGCAGUUCUGCACCAUGCUGGAGGCUGACACUAGAGCUAUGCUGGUCCAUCCUCUCACCCCCAAAGUGACAGGGAGAAAGAACGAGAGGAAGGAGAAAGACAGUGAGGCACUGGAUUAUCAUACCCUCAGAUCUCCCGAUUGCAGCUCUAAAUAUAGCCAAACAAGUAAAAAUCUGCUUUUGGAAGUGGUACAACUAUGUGGCUCCCAACCCUUCAAACAACAUGCAUGCAGAAGGCAGCCAGUCCCCUCCCGACCAAGAUGCUGGAUGGGGAACCAUGCUAAGCACAUUCUGAUCUCCAGCCAGAAAGUGAAAAAUUCCCAACUGCCACACCUACCAGGGUGUGACCAGAGACUAUCAACUAGUUUAUAUUUGCACUUUGAUACACAGCACAGGCUUAACAUCGUACGGUGUAUCCCUGGAAAAAAAUAGCAACAAGUUUCAACACAGAAAUUCUGUUAGAUUGGGAGGCCAGAAUAAAUAAAAGCCGACGAGUUGUAGAAUGACUCGAGGUAGAGUAAAAGAUCUCAUCUCAAAAAUAACACCAAGGCAGUGUGCUGCAGAUGAAACACAUAAUGAAAAAACAUUCCAAACUUCUCAUUUGAGAAAAGAUUACAAAUAAAAUAGGCUUGGGCAUGCCAAGUGUAAAAUCUUUGAUAUGGAAAUGCAGUAAUGGUUAAACGAAAUGGGCUGAAAAUCUAUUUAUCAACAGCCUGUAAUGCCUUGUUGGAUCGUCCCAUGAGAAAAGCAAAUAAGGAGUAGUAGGAGAACAUACAGACACUGUUAAAAGGUUUACAUACCUCCCGCCUUCAUACCUUGAGACAUAGUCCUUCACCUUAACUGGAGAUAUCUAAAGGUUUAAAUGCUGGUAUGAGAGCAGGGUUUGAGAUGCACGGCCUGAGACCCAGCUUUUCAGAAGGGCCCAAAUGUUUCUGGCUUGAGGUGUCUGAAAGGAACCUGCUCUCUAGAGGGUGACAGGGGGUGAAGGCACCAGCACACCGGGGGGCACCUGGGGUGACACCCUUGGGCAGGGGCAUCUCUGCCAUCCUCACCAAGGCUGCUGCAGAUGAAGAGCUGGGCCACAGCACUGCACUGCUGGCUGAAAGCGGCACCGCGCCGUUCGUCUGCCUCACUUCUCUCUUCAUUCACAGUUUUCUUUUGCCAGUGGGCAGUAAGUCAUUACCGAGCCCUACAUGUGAAUCACGAGUGCCGUGGAAAUUAAACUCCUUGACCUGCUCACGUUUUUCCCUUUGAUGUCAGUCUGAAUAGGCAUUUUUUGACUGAAACGUAGUUUUAAUUUUGAGAGCUAGCAAGACAACCACAACCUUCUCUGCAAGGAAGUUCUCUGAAGAAGUCUUUGUUGUUCUUCCCAAAUUACUUUCCUAGAGACAGAGCGUCGGCAUGCAGUGCUAUGGGGGGCCAGAGUGUGCUUCUGCCAUCCACAGGCACAGGAGAGAGAAAAACAGCUACUGGGCUGUACCCCAGAUGUGAAGGGACUAGCCAUGGUGUUGGGGACCAAAAUCUGUGCCCUGUGGGGAGCAGUAAAGUGGAGAGACCCCCAGCCCCAACCUGCAAGAGCUGGGUGCUGGAGGUGUGUGGUGAGCCAUGAAAUCAUUUGAGUUGGAAGGGGCCUUUAAAAGUCAUCUAUCCCAACUCCCCUGCAAUGAACAGAGACACCUACAGCUAGAUUAGGGUGCUUGGAGCCUCAUCCAGCCUCUGUGUGAUGAGCUGGCAUGGGACAAAGCAGCACGGCUGCUGAAAUAGGGGUGCUGCUGUUUCAGAGGCUGGGGGUUCAUAUCCCCAACAGGUUAGGUAAUGUGCAAGGCAUCCAAUAUUAAAUUUCCGUCUGAAAUCAUACAAUGUUUUGAUGAAGCGCUGCAGAGACAUCUGUUUUGAAAUCUAGUUUCCCAUCUUACUGUUGCUGACCUGUUUAAAAUAAUAAAAACAGAAAGCUUUCCAAGAUGGAUGACACUGGGGCCAGGGAUAAAAACCUCACUUGUGUUUCUAAAGGCUCUUUCCAUGCUUACAAACCUGGUUCUUGCAUUCAUCAAACACAGAGGACUCUUUUUUUUUUCAUGCUGUCAGCCAGGAAACUUCAGAAAGGAAGAUGCCCAGGCCACCAAUGCCGCUGGUCUUUUUCAUUGCUUUACAAUAUGGUUCUGAAAGCUGCAGGGUUUCAGGUAAACAAAUAUUCCGGAACUAUAAAAUAUGAAUGAAUUCAAAUUAUACAUCCAUGCUAUUUAAAGAAAGAUUUUCUUUCAGGCAUGUGGCUAUUUGGGAAAAAUAAUUGUUUUGUUCAUCGAUCUGUAAUUUGUCUGUUGGGCUUUUCCUAGAACAUUCAGCCUGGCAAAGAAGCAGAAAACAAUUUUAUGGCUGGGAAGAUGGCACAGAGGUUGACUUGUUGGAAGCUCUGGGCAGCCUCAAGGACUCACAGAAAGUCAUAUUUAAUAGCUAAACUGCUGGAAAAAUAAAUUUUCUUUGCUGAUUCAUUACACUAACUCCACAGUUAAGAUUACAAGAAGAACAGACCAUUUAUUUUGGGCCAAAUUUUCAAACCUUCUCAAAUCCACAAGUAUAGCUGAUUGACUGCAGAAUGUAUCCGUCAAAGCCUGGUUCACGAAUUUGAGGUUCUUUGGUAAAGUUGUAGGAAUAGCACUUCAAAACCUCAUGAUUUUCAGUCUCCUUAUGAGAUCUGCUUUCAGCAGAUAAAGAGAAAAGAAACAUUGAGAAGUGUCUGCUAGUCACAUCACUGCACUGCUUCGUGUCGGAGGAGGGAAAGGCCAAAGCUUUAGAGCUGUGAUGCUGGAUGAUGUCACUGCAGGAGGUCUCUUAAAACAGAGUCAAGUCACCACACACCGGCCACACUGUAUUUCUGUGGAUGUCUAAACCUUUUUCUUCAGCAGGCAGAAGGAGCCAGCAAGCAGUUCAGUUUCUGCUUUGAUGAUUUUAUUUCCUAUGUGCACAAGUAUGUGGUGUAAACUGUUCAGGAGAUGCUAAUGGUGACAACAGUAGCUUAGUUAUUGAAGACAAAGUGUUUGCUAGAAAAGUAAGUUUUUGGGGCUUAUUUCCAAGAGGUGAUGCUAUACUGGACAGCCACUUUAACCUGAAAGAACAGGCUAUUUCUGGAUAUAUAUACAUAUAUAUAAAAAACACAUUUACUCCCCUUGCCAUUAUACUUUAAAGGUUUUUGCUACAUAGCUUAUUCAUCAUUACAAAAAGGUGUAAUGGUGUAAUGUAUCUAGAUUUGAGGAAGGACAAAUGUGAACUCAAGCAAUUGAAAGCAGCCAACAGAAACUGUAUGUUCACAGACAUGUAAGCUUGAGGCCUUGAAUUUUUGCGAGUAAGGCAUCAUUCAUCAUUAUAGAAUAGCUGUGUUUCACACAGGUGAGAUGGAUGGAGCCAGGAGAAAUCAACAGCUCUAGCUAUGACAUGCUGUGCUGCAUUCAAAAAAGAAUGAAUGCAAUGUAGAGAAACAAGAGUCCAGAACUAUCCCAUGUAUGAGAAGUCUUCUGGUAAAAGACGACGUUGUUGUUUGUGCUAGGGAAUAAAUUGGGUACCCAUCUUCUCUCUUUGCUUCUGAGUCCUGCCAAAUAACUCUUAUAUGGUGUUGGGCAAGAGGAUUCGGUUUCUCUAGGUCUGUUUCUGUAACACAGAUAAUAAAGAAUGAUUUCGUUCUUUAGUCCUUUUCCUCUAUGUGAACAGCAAGCUGUUCAAGACUGGGCUGUCUUCACUGGGUGUGCAUGCAGCGCUUAGUGCGGAUGGCUCUCAGUCUCAAAUGUGGCCUCUAGGCACAAGGGUAUUACAAAAAUAAUUAACUGAGAAGGUGUAUUUAUUUAGUUAAUUGUAAUAACUUCAGACAGGAUAUUGUACCUAAUUUUAGCUAAGUGUAAGUCAGUUCACAUUCAUUAAUUGGCCUGCUCUUUCCCACCUCUUGCUUGUGACAAUAUUGGUUCACAAGCAGGAUGUCAACACGCACAUGGUGUUUUCUAUUGUGGGCUUUUUUUUUUUUCCCUGUGAAAUGAGCAGGUGAGGGUUCCUUACUGCCUGGAAGUUAACUGACUUAGAGCAUAUCUUAAAUAUAUGCAGUUCCUCCCAGCCUGUGAGGAUGCGGAAGGACUUAAUACAACUAAACAACUUUGGGAAGAACUCCUUAGUUGCUAAGAGGUGUGUUGAAUGCCUGCUGAAUCCCCUUAGCAGAGGCAUCCUCCUGUGCCUCACUGUCACGAUGUCUUCAUCUUACUCUCACAGAAACACAUUUUAUUUUCCUGGAGAAAAUCAUAUGAAAAUACAAAGCAAUGAUUCAGCAACCAAUGAAGCCAGGCAGAAUUUUUUAUUUGACCAUGAAACAUAUAAGGACCCUUUCUGGGUCUUCUGGGCACUUUCUCUCAAUUCCUGAGCAUCCUCAGCCUAAGUUGUAUUUUCACAUCUUAAGAUGCAUUUAGCACCUCACAGUUUUCACUUCUGUGACAUAUGGAUGUAUGUUUUGUUUAGUUCAGAAUGAUUGCUAGAAUGCUUGAUUGUUAUUUGGUGCUAAAUAUUAGCAUAGCUUUCCAGAAAGCUGUCUGGUAUGCUGGAAGUCUAAGGGAACUCAUCUUUAGAGAGUACGUUAUCGUAAUGCUUAACUGAAGAUCAAUCACGUGGUUCCUGGUAGCAUCCCAGAUUCUGGUUAAAUUCCUUUUUCUUUUUAAAGAAGAAUUCAAUGAAUUUUCCUCUCCAAGUGCUCAGCAACCUAAACGUUACAUAGAGACAUCAGAAGUCUUUUAAUGCAGGUUUUCAGAGUAAAUGAAACCUUUUUUCAGUGUGGUUGCCUUUGUAAUAACAGUCUUCUUAUUUGUUGGAUACUUAUGUAACGUAAGAUGAAAAGACAUUUUAUAGCCUUCUGGCAAGAGGACUUAAAAUUAACAGCAUACCUGUGGCUGCCCUAAGCCAGGGAGGGAGUCAUUUUCAGGCCAUGGGAAAACUGCAGUUUUGCAUCCUUCACUUCUUCUGACCUACUGCUAUUCAGUAUUUCCAUAGGCUUGUUUUUCAUGAAAGCAUCAUCGCGCACACAAAGAAAAACUAAGUAAUGGAUCCUGAUGAAAGAACAGAGGCCGAGGUGGUAUGGGAUAGCUGUCACCCAUUAACAUCUCCCCCAAGAAUGUGGUGGUUUAACUUAUUCUCUCAUUUUAUAUUUUCAUGCCUGGCUGAGCCCUGGUGUCGCACACGGCCGGCUGGCUCUGUGCAGGAGCCACCAGGCCAAUUUGCUCUGGCAACAACUAACCCAAGGCCACGCGGUGCCCGCUGCAGCCUGAAUCGAGGCCUGCUCUGUGGCCAUGUCCUGCAGCAGUCCCAGGCAGGCGGCCUCCGCCAACCCUAGGCAGGGUGUUUUGUUUUGCACAACAGUUGAUGGCUUUCACGUUUCCUCCCUGUCGAUACGCAAAAAGGAAAACCACAAAACGAUAGCGAUCUGAGUUUGGUCUCACCUGUACGGGGCUGGCAGCCGUGCCAUCCCAUUGAGUUUGGCUCUGCUGCCCCACCACUCUUUGGGCUGGGCCUUCAAGCAGAUGUGAACUUGAUCAGCAUCAAGCCCGAUCUUUUUCAUGCCCGUUCUUGCUGUGAAUAUUUGUUUUCCCUUACACGUUUCUACCUGGAACCUGACUACCUCCUUGCAAAGUUUUGUUAUUUAAAAGUAAUCUGACAAUUGUUUUCAAAAAGAUAAUUACUCUCCAUCAGAAGUGUAGAAUGCUGCUAAUCCCCAGAGAAGCUCACCCAGCGUUUCCUCCUCACCAUGUAAGCAUAUCACCUUGGCUGUGUCUCAGGGCUUCCCAGAGCUCAUGUGGCAGUUCAUGGGCCCUCUGUGCUGUGGCUCUUCUCACCCCUGCCUGCGCUGGGGAGGGAUGUGCAGCAGCAGCAGCACGAGGACGGGGCAGCUUAUGUGGGAGACGUGUCAGGCCCUCAGCCACAAUCCUGCCUGGAAGAACAACUCUGCCCUCCUAAAAGCCCUACCAGACCUGCCAUGGCCCCAGCUGGCCGAGCCCCCAGCUGCACAGUUCAAGGAAGUAUGCAGCUAAUUGGUGUAUUGCCUCUGCUGGGGCUCAGGCAGGCUAAUGCUAGCACUCCCACGCCAGGCAAACUAGCGCUCCUUUGCUUCUUCAGCAUUCAGACUGUCAGAGCCUUUUCUCUCAGCAGUAACAAUUACCAACAACACUGGAGAUGGCGGUGGCAUUAGAUCUGAGAAUGACUCAUCACUGAACCAGCCCUGUCAAGCAAGAUAAAUACAAUUUAGUUGUUAGCUAAUCUAUUUUUGUUUGUGUUCUCAAUUCACCCAGGACAAUGAUUACAUUGCUGUCUAUCAUGCUAGCAUUAAGGAUAUUUUGCUACAACGUGCUUAGCUUUGUAAAGCGAACGUUUAUGAAUACAAUAGCCGUAUUUGUCUGUCAAUAUUACUUCACUGCUGACAUACCGCACGUCAGGUUUCUAUGGCAUGACAGAGACCCGCGCAGUAAACUAUUCUGGAUCUGGGGGAGUUAAGUUGUGGAAAGGCGCCAUUUAGUUUACCAGCAUUUCGGUACCGAGAAAUUUCACCUCAGAUAUACUUCUGCUAUCUGUCAUCUGCCAGUUUGUCUUUCCUUCAUCUCUACAACUGAAACCCGUGGUUUAAUACCGCGUUGAAUCAGCCUUGGACUUUGUCACAGUCUGACCCCAGAAGAAAAGCUGACGGGCUGCUCUGAGUGGGCUUGUAGGAUGCUUUGGCACUUCCAUGCUGAGCUUCAUCAGUGCCCAGAUCAGCUCUCAAGGUGCUCAGUGCCUCCCAAACUCUCCUCCUGAAACAAUCCAGGCUUUGGUAUGGCUUUGCAUUCAAGUUAUUUAUUUUCAUUGUAUUUCCUCUCCCUUUGUUUUUGUUUUUGUUCAGCACUUACUUAGCCCUUGGGAAAGCUAUUUAUGGAAAUUUCAGAUUUUCAUGAUAAAGAAAGUGUUUUGCAAUUAGAACUGGAGGAAACCAUUGAUCUCGAUAACAGGGUGAGAAACUUUCUCACUUGCAAGGUUGGCGAAUCCCAUUAGCAAUCGCCAAACUCUGCCAAACAGCAAACAAGCAAAGAUGCACGGCGAGGAGGAGGUGAAAAGUGUAAUAAAAAAUGCUGGUUUUCUCUGUUUGACUUUCUUGCCAAGCUGGCGCACCGGAGAAGACAUUUGCCAGCUGUCAUAUCUGAAGAAAGACUCAACUGAAAGAUCUCGCUACGCUCAGUUCACGAGCAAGACUUUUUUUUUUUUCUCAGAAUCAGCCAGAUAACUGAUUAUUCUGUGCUCAGCGAGAAACCUUGUGGCUUUGCAACGUUUCACCCGGCGCGCUGCAACAACCAACAUCUCUGCUGCUGAAAGCUCUCAAACAAAAAUAUUCGGAAUAAACUUCCAAUACUUUGGAACCCUGCCAGUCGUGGGCAUCUUUCAGGAGAGGCAGCAGAUACAGGCUUACUGUCCGUUAUUAUGUUUGUCGUCUGCUGUGGUCCUUGAGGUUGCUUCUUGUAUUUCCAGCGGCCGUAAGACGUUCUUGCAGAGCUUACUGGUUAAUCGCGAUACGUUAAACAAGCUGCGAAGUGCUGUGGGAAACCAUUGCAAAGAUACUUAACAGACUGAUACACUACGCUAUGUCUGUAACCUCUUUCCAUCUGAUAGUGCCGUCGUUUUGAAUGGGCUGUGUGGGAGGCAGCCUGUUGCCCCGACCUGAGCUCAUGCCACAUUUCUCAGGCAGAUGCUUCCGUCUCCCCGACGUAACAUGCAGGCUAGACAAGGCUCACGGGAGGGAAACGUGUGAAGUAAUUCCCAUUCCCCCCUCUUCCAAGUAUGUAACACCGUUGUACUGCUUGUCAGAUAUGUUUUGAGACAAUAGUUUUAUUUUUCUCGUCUAUAACAUCAGGUAUUGUUAUCACUAUCAUUACUAUUAUUACGUAUUAUUGAAACCAGUCUGAAACUGCAUACCCAUAUGCAAUUGCAUCUGAAACACUUAACUGAGAUGAGAUGAGAUAACCACGGUGCGCGAGGCUCAGCCAGCUGGAGCAAGGGGGCAGAGGACUUCCAAAGAGGAGCUGGGAUGGCGCAUGCAAAAGGCUCGUUAAAUGCGUCAGCUUCCCUCGCUGGAAGAGCAGGAAAGAUCCAGCCUGAGGCCAGGACCCGGCUUUCUGGGUGAGAAGAAGCACGGGAGCACCAAUGCCUGUGUCUGAGUGGCAUUUCCAGCCGAGUUCCUGGGCUGCGUGGCUGAAAUCUGGCAGAGACCACGUACUAAACUUGACCCCAAAGUGGUGUAACAGACCUGUGGCCUCAUCCUUACCCAACUCCAACGCCUGUCUGCACUUGAACUAAAUGUUAAAAAGUGGUAUUUCCUGAGAGCACUGUGAGGAGCCUUAAGGGCUGGCUACCGGGCAUGCAGUGAGAGCCAACAGCUGGCCUGGCCACUCUGCUCCUUAUCUCCAGACUGAUAGCAUCAAAGGUCUCAGCCUGUUCUGGCUGGGGGCUGGCUCUUGCCAGGCAGUGAAUGGCUUAUGAAGGUGCUUCAGCUUAGAUUUCAGGUGGGUUUCAGCACUGAUGCACUCACUGCAGUAGCAUCCCCAUUACUGAGGACUGGAUCCAAUGUAGGAUUUGGAUAUGUGAAGAACAAAUGCCUCAGGAGGAAAGUGGCCAUAAACCACUUGUGACAGCUGCCCAGCCUGCAUCAGCAGCUUUCUGUGGAAGUUCCCACAAGUGUCUGUAUGAGAGCUCCAGGGAAAACUAUGGAACAGGUCCAGGGAAAAGGAAGGUAACUUUCUUAUAUAAAUGAAAUCAACACAUUUUCACCCACAUUUUUGCUUUUCAUUAAAAUGGAUCCAGCUGUGGAAGCACUAGCAAGGAAGAAUGUGACCUCAGGUCCCUGUUAGAGGGGUGGGAACAAUUGUAGUAAGGGGAAAUCAAUGCAAGAUCUUUUAUGGCCAAUACAGGCUAUAAAUUACAGACCUAGGCAGAUAAAGCAUUUAGAAGUCACACUUGCAGAGCCACGGUGAAGAGAUAACAAAGGAAAACUACACCAAAGUCCCAGUUCUUCAGCACUUAUGAUCUUAAUUAAAGGGUAAUGUAAUCAAUCUGGUGAUUAAUCAUAAACUUUUUAUUGAGGGAGAGUAGUAGGCAUUCCUACCAAAGGCACCAGCGCCCAUUUUGCUAUCAGUCUGUCUAACUCCAUUGCACUGAAUCCUUCCUGCUCUGAAAUAUCUUCAUGGACACCUGUGGACUUAUGUCAAGAUAAGAUCAGCCCAUGGAGAAAAACACAAGAUACUCUACCACCUACCUGGAGUCAAAUAAAUGGAUUCAAAUCCACAUUCCUGCAGGGAGGUGAGAAAUCUGAAUGGCUUGGGUAAUGCACAGCACUGUAUGCAUAAACUACACGUUCCUUAAGGACAUUAAACUUGCAGUCCCUCAGGGGAGGGCAUGAACCAUCACUGCUCCCUGCAGUACACAUGGUGGCAUGAGGGACACCAACAAGGGACACCGCCGCCCAUCCUGCUGCACAGCACCGCCACCGAAGGCAAUGGAGGGUCUGGAAAAGACGGAGCGAUUGCCUGCCACAGCCAGCAAGGACGAAGUGGCCAAGAGUUUGUGCAUUCAGAUCCCUGUGGGAGGAUGGGAACAACCCCUCCAAUCCCUCCUCCACGAUCCUGGCUUUACUGCAAGAACCCAGCCACAAAGCUAAGCCGGUCUGUUUACCAACGUAACAGUCAGAGCAAGAGCUUACAUCAUAUUGGAGCAAACAAAGCCUGGGGGGAAAAUACCUCUAACUUAAGGUAUAUUCUGAUGUAAGAGUAAGAGCUAGCAGCAUUUCAGGGUCCUUUUGUAAUAAUAACUCCCACGCUGGAGCCUUAAGCAUUAAUGGUCUGUGAAAGCUAUUAUUUGAUGUUUUUAGCAUUGAAUUUCAUUCUGACAGGACUUCAUGAUACGUAUUACAGAAAAAAUACUGUUAACCUAAUCAUAUUAAUACCAAAUCUUUGUACUGUAAUAGCCUCAAACAUUUAGAGCAAGGCACAAACCUGACUUUUCAUAAAUACAGAAAGACAGAAGUUUUAAUGAUGUUAUUUUCCUACUGCUUCCCCGACUGCAUCUGUUAGAGUCACUAAGACCAAGGACCAUCAUUCCUCUCUUUUACAGACAGAAGAGUGGAAAAGAUGCUUGGCUUUCCAGGGCCGAACCCUGCACUUCUUAUUCCCAGGGACAGCCUCUUCAGGCAUUAUCAAUUUGUCUUUGUCUUUCCCUUUUUAAGACAUGCCUGGCAUAAGUUGCGUCUGAAAUAUAAUUCCUGAUUUCUGCUGCUGCUGACAGUUUAAAUUAUUAAGAGGAAUUUUAAAGUUCUUUUUAGGUCUCUCACUUUUACAUGACAGUUUUCCUUCCCGCAUUUCAGUUGGUUUUGGUAGUCUUGUCGGAGUCAAUUUUUCUUUCUCUUUAUUAAAACAAACUCUAUGCUGUCUGCCUUUGAUGAGCUUCUAAAUGCAAAGGAAAGAAAAAAAUAUACAGGUAGUAAAUACUCUGAAACAUUCACCUAUGCAUAUAGUUCAGACAAAGUGAAUCUGCAUCCUCAUGUUGUCAAGAAGGGCCCUUUAAGCUUGAAACGAGAGCAGAUUCUUUCAAACUUUCCCAGAGAAUAGCAGUGACCUUGCAGAUCAGAUAACCCAUGGUCUACAAGAGUUCAAAUAUGUCAUCAGGACUUUAUUUUACUGUUCAGUGUUCCUCAGCCUAGUUGUUCAAGUCAGGCUAAUUCCAACCUCUACCCCCCAAAAAAAGCCCUACAGGAGUGCACAAUGCCAGCAGAGCAGAGCUGGGUAUGAGCAAGGAUAAAUGAGGCCGUCUGUCAAAAGCUGGACUGUCAUUGAGAGGCUGCGAUCCAAUGGGCACAACAUAUUAAACCUAAGGAAAAUACUUGUUCCCCUUACUUCAUUCUCUAGCAGGCUGCAGCUCAUGAAAUCCAUCAUGGACUUCACGUUAGUACAGAAAUUCGCUCCAGCACUUCUCCACUGACUCUCGGUAUUAACUGAGACUUCUCCUGUUUUUAUAAGACAAAUACUUCUUCAUGUUGCUGGGGAAGCAACAGUGUUGCUUCCAAUUUGUUGUUGUACCAAUAGCAUUUGUCUCACUGCAGCGUGAGCCACUGCAGGGAAGAAAACCAGGAGAGGACCAAUCACUUCCAGCAACACUAACUCUACAUUAGUUUAGCCUCAACUUCAAGCUGUACCCUAAGGCUCCAGCUCAGCAACAGGUAUCUUACUUUUGAGCUCAUGAGUAGUUCUGGUGCACUCAUGUGUUUUGACUUAAGCAUGUGCUUCAACCUCUUAUUGAAUGGGCUUCUAAAUCAUUUGAAAUCCAGCCCCAUUUCCAUCACUGAAAACCAUUGUAUUACAUCACUGGGUUGCUCCAGAAGUAGGGAAAAAAUAUUCUUGGUAUUUCUCGAGACAGUUUUACCGUUGUUAUGCUGCUGUUUUGCUGGGAUUCAGCUUCAGUAAACAGUUCCAGCCCCAGUCUGAAUUCAAAGCCAGAACUGGGGUUUGAUGAAACGCUUGGGUGCUGGACUGAACGUGCUCCAACUAUACAGGGAUUUUGGAGAGGAGAGAUAAGGUGAGGGCUUUCAAGCAAAAAUGUAGCCGUUCCCCUUUUCCAGAUCCUCCCCUUCCCAGCGCAGUAUUCUGGGAAACUGCCUGCCCGUUUCAAGACCUGCUGCAAUGAGCCCUGGUGUCAUGGUACAAGGCAGGGAAUUUCAGGUUGGAACUAAGUAUCUUUUUGGGUUUGUUUAUUUCCCUUAAAUUGCCUGAAGUCUUGCUUUCCAAUGUCCCACCACUUUCCAGAGACAAUCUGUCAGAGGAUCCCAACCUCCCUCCAUCCAUCCAUGUGUCUCCGUAGCCCAAUGUGACCAUCGCUAGGGGAUUCCAGGGUUGCACCCUCUCUGUUUUUAGCAGCGUGCCAACUAUUCCCCGUUAUCAUCAUGUGGAUGGAGGCAAGACGUGCUGGCAGAGCCUUACCCUUUCUUGAGAGCCUGGGGACCCUGCAGCACGGGGAACAGCAGGCUCCAGGUCCUUCCUAGGCCAAGACAAUGCUAGUACCAUGGAGAACCUUAUUCUUCGGAAACAAAGCAUCUCUGAUUCAGCUGUUACUCAAAACAGAAAUUCAUGUUUUAGUAGGGCUUUCUGCUUUAACCCAUCUGAAAUGUAAUACCCGUUAACACAGAUGUUAGCACACCUUUGCCUUUUCUUUCUCCCCCAAGAAGAAGAGCCCGCAGUUUAAGGUUGUAAGUCUGAGCAAUUCAGUAAAUGAUGCAAAUACAAAUGAAAAUUAGCCAACAAAAGAAAUUCAAUUGAGUUUAAUAGGAGGCUAUUAUCAUACCUCGCAUUCUCUGCUGCCCUAGCACAGGUAGGAACCAACCACAGGGGACGGAACAGCUCUGUCUGCUCACAUAGCGCAUACAUACAAGGCAAACAGCAGCAGAAAACCCGGUUUAUUUGACUGUAGUCAUUAGCGCUACGCAUUACAGGGUCAGUGCCGCUUCGCAGAGCGCUCCGCGUGUCCCCCCGCUCCCCAAGGAGCAGCACCGCACGGGGCCCGACAGAUGUGAG